rnacentral:lncRNA from 1 species
AACGGCUCUCAAUUAGGGCAAGUUGAUCUAAAUAUUGUAGGCAAUGAAGAACCUCCAUCAUGAGCUACUGAGAAGAUGGCCAGAGGAGAAGUUAAGCCUUAAGAGAAGGAAGAUGUUGAUGACACAAUUGAUGGGCCAAUCAAUAAAGAUAUCGCUGCAAACUCGAAGACCUCAAAAUUUCAAAAAUCUCCGGAGGGUGUUCCAGAAAGUUCCGGAGGUCCAGAAAUGUCCGAAAAAAUUCUGAAAAAUUUCGGAGGUGCGGAAAUUUUCGAACAAAUUCUGAAAAAUUCCGAAAAUUCUGAGGAAAGUGAUCAACAUCAAGCCAACGAUGAGGAUUUGAUUCAGCUGUAAGCUUCCAACCCUCAUCCAAGAGUUCAUCAAAGUAUCCAACGAGAUCAUCCCGUGGAUAACAUCUUAGGAAGCAUCCGAAGAGAGGUAACUACUCGUUCUCGUUUAGCAAAUUUUUGUGAACAUUACUCAUUUGAUUCCUCUUUGGAACCCCUUAAGGUAGAUGAGGCACUGAAGGACUUAGAUUGGGUGAUGGCCAUGCAAGAGGAGUUGAACAACUUCACAAGGAAUGAAGUCUGGUCCUUAGUGGAACGCACCAAGCAAAAUGUGAUUGGAACCAAAUGGGUGUUUCGCAACAAACAAGAUGAGAAUGGCGGGGUUACAAGAAACAAGGCAAGGUUGGUCGCUCAAGGAUUCACUCAAGUUGAGGGAUUGGAUUUUGGGGAAACUUAUGCACCAGUGGCAAGACUAGAAGCUAUCCGCAUACUAUUAGCCUAUGCCACCCCUCAUGACUUCAAGUUAGACCAAAUGGAUGUCAAGAGUGCUUUCUUGAAUGGCCCAAUCUCUGAAGUUGUAUAUGUUGAGCAACCACCGGGCUUCGAAGAUCCAAAAUUGCCCAACCAUGUCUACAAGCUCCAUAAGGCGCUCUAUGGGCUUAAGCAAGCACCAAGAGCAUGGUAUGAAUGCCUUAAGGAUUUUCUCCUAAGGAAAGGCUUUGAGAUAGGAAAUGCUGAUCCUACUCUCUGUCGGUGUUCUAGAUCGGCAACCUGCCUAGGGGGUACCCUAGGUGGUCUUUUGUGCGGUGGGUGUCGUCGAGAAUCAAGGAGUCAAUGGUGACGCAAGGGACACGAUUUAGACACGUUUGGUCCACUAGAUCGCGUAAUACCCUACGUCAUGUGAGUUGAUUGUAUUGAACUUAGAUGUGUUGUGAGAGUUGUCUUUGAGGGGGUCCCUGCCCGCCCUUAUAUACUCAGGAGGGAAGGGUUACAAGUUUGAAUCCUAGUCGGGUAUGAUUACAGAGUUCUACUCGAUGUAGGUCGAGUAGUUUCCAUGUGCACACCUAACUAGUCCGAGUGGGAUACGCUUCUUGCCGUGUAGCCCCCCUAGUUUUGAUUAUGUCCGAGUACGCCCUUUAGUGAGCCGCACAGGGCCUACUCGUGGGCCUAGGAUGUAUGCCUGACAAGCCCCCGAGUACUUUGUAGUUGAGCGUCACAGUUCUGAGUACUUUGAGACCACCAUCCAAGUAGUUCUCAAUAAUGGUUAUAGUGUCUUUAAGUACUUGAGUACUGUCACGUGGCUGGAAGGUACUCUUCUUUUCCUUCGAGUUGCUUCUGUCUUGAGAAACUAUAUGGUAGUGCGAUGACAAUCCCACUCCAUAUUGAGUAGCCCCCGAGCCUUAGAUUGAGUCGAAGAGUCAGGCUUAGGGUCAAUCCCGCCUUCUGGCUAUUUCUCUUUCAGUAGUCUAAAAAAGAAAACUUUGUCCAGCGGGUACGGUAUCCGCAGCCCCCGAGCACUUAGGUGAUUUCUUUGUUGUCGAUGAAGUGGUCAAACCCUUUGAUUUGAGUAGAUGUUGGAUAUUAUGGCCAUAAAUCUGGUUUAUAUCUGACCGUUGCAUAACUGACGCUUGGAAUUCGGAGGUGAUGGAGAUAUAAUGGGAGAGCCCCCUUAUGGUUGGGGUUACGUUUCUUUUUUAGCAGAUCUAUUUUGUCCCUUCCCCCUUUUUUCCUGUUCCUCGUUGCGCCGUCGCAAUUUCUAGUGCCGCCAGCGCCAUUGCUGCUUUGCUUUUUGAGAAAGAUCAGAGGUUUACUCCUCUCUUCUUUGCUGUCUCCGAGAUCGUCUGAUGCGCAUCAAGAAGAUGGGGAAGAAACCUGAGAAGACUCAAGGCCAGGCUGCGGCGGCGGGUAAGUUGAGAUCUAAAUCCAGGAAGGGGAAGGAGCUAGUGCUGCCAGCGCUGAAGUGCGGUCCGAUGAACCAGACUGCGCCGCCGCCACCUAGAAUCACCUGGCAGAAUUCUGUGAAGAGGGAGGCGGCUGUUCAAGCUUUGGUUGAUGCUAAACUUCUGCAGCCGAGGCUUCAACUCGAGUGGAGGCGUGCCUUUGGCAACAUGUGGCAGUUUGACGAGCAUCCAAACGAGAUGGUCAUGCUUGCGCACUUUGUCAAGAGGGGAUUGGCAGUGCCUGCUUCUGACUUCUUCAGAGGUAUCCUCGAGUACUAUAAGCUUCAGUUGGUUCGCUUGAGUACUUGUGCUUCAUAUGUCCAUCUUUGUACACUUGUGUUAAGUAUACCUGGGUGUUCCUCCUAGUCUUGAGCUCUUUAGGAAACUAUUUCGUUGUAAGCCUCAGCCUAGUGCGAUUAGGAUAGAAGUUUUUGGAGGCGCCGACUUCCAACUCAGGAACUCGGACGCUUAUAUUGACUACAACUUGACUGACUUGCACGGUCACUGGAAGAGGAGGUGGUUUUAUUUUGGGAAUCAUGACCCUCGUUUGCCGGUACUCCCUGGUCAUGCCUCGAAGCAUGCGGAGAACUGGGUGAGCGAGCCUGACGAAGCAUGCGGAGAACUGGGUGAGCGAGCCUGAGGAUACUCCUGAGAUUUCCAACCUACUGAGCUAGAUUACUGAAUUGAAGUCGUUGGGUUUGACUGGCAUUAAUGUGGCUGCCAGUUUUCUCAAGAGGAGAGUUCAGCCUUUGCAACAGCAGGCUCACUCGGGUUCGGAGUACUCGAGCUUUGAUGACCCGUCGCGUAUGUCUCCUGAUGAUAUAUCUGAUAAUGAUGUGGAGGCACUGCUAGCAAAGUUGUUCAGGAAUUAUCAGGGAGUACUUGUUAUUCUUGGAGUCCUUCGCCAAUUUGAUAGUUGGUAUGGGCCACAAGAGGUGUGUUCUUUUGCUUGACUUGUAUUUUUCGAGAUGUUGGGAUAUCUUUGAGUAACAACUCGUUUGCAAUCCCGGGUUCUCUUCGGCUAUCUGGCGUAUUCUGAGGAGGAGUUAGUCGUUGAUGACUCAGAAGACGAGCCUUCUCCUCCUGCGAAAAAAUGGCGAGUAGUUCAGAACAGACCUGCUGCGAAGUCUGUUUCAACCUCGAGUUUAACCCUUGAGAGGUCGUAGAGUACCAAGGUACAUAGUCAUACAUUCAUUGGUAAUUUUUGGUAGAGUUGUCCUGUAAUCCUUUGAUAAUUUUAGUUGACUGAGAAGAUUGUUGACGUGACUCUUGGUGGUGAUGAGGCUACUUCUGGUGAGGUAGUCGCUACCGCCAAGGAUGAUGUUAGUGUUGCGUCUGUUGAAGAAUUGCCGGUGGGGGUGCUGCUUGCAGACUCUAGAGCAGCCCCCGAGCCAGCAGUCCCGACCCCGUCGGCUACCGAGUUGCCGAUCCCUGACCAAGCAGUUUUAGGUUUGCCUGUUGGGGUGGCAGAUGUUGCGAAGGCAGAAUCGCCGGUGAUUACCUGCUGGCUCCUUAUUGUCCAAUGUUAUCGCUAGUGGUGAGUUUUUUCUGACUAUUUUUGCUAGUCUGAAGUUUUCAUAGUCUUAUCUUUGUCUUUGCAGGACUUGACAAAAAUAUUGCACCUUGAGCUGACCCUGUGGUGCCGAGUACUCGACCGACGGUCACCAAGAAAAAACGUGUCCGUCUACCGCCGCGUUCAUCCCGGUGAGUUUUUAAGUCUUUUCUUUGUAAUCGUAUUGUCGAUUUUUCUGAAAGGCAUAUGAUGACUUUGUGUUUUGAUGCAGGGAUGCGGAGGAUAGUAUCCCUGUGGAUGUAGGAGUGGAGUCUUGUCCUUCGACUACUCUUUCUGCUCCCUUGGUUGAUUUGUCUGUUGAUGAUGUAUCCGAGGUUGACACUAGUCGCCUUGGUGCCACCAUGUCCAUACUUCAAGAAGUACUCCGCUUGGUGGAGAACCCUACCGUUCCUUCGGGUUCUGGUGGUGUACCAUCCUCGACGUCUACUGGUUGUAUUGCUCCUCUUGAGGAUGAUGCGAAGCCCCGUUCAUUAGUCGAGCAGCUGAAAACUACUCCGGGUAAGGUUGCUGGCCUCUGCAAGGCUGUUUGUAAACAAGUCCUUGCAGUGGUCAAGUCAUAUUACCUGAGGGCAGAUUUAACAGUGGCUGGUGACGGUGUUGCUCGGAAUUGCACGGAGGAUGCUUACGCGCAAUAUCUUGAGGAGGCUAAGCCAAUCGCUUCCAAGAUGUCUGAGUUUGUAUCUUUGGAAGAUCCUUAGGCUUGUAUAGCCUUGUAAUCUGUCGAGUACUUUGUUUUACCCAAGAGAGUUUCUGAAUUUUGUUUGAACUCUAUUGAGUGAUUGUUUGUCAAUUUCUUGUCGUUUUGAAGCAAGUAUGGGUGCCACCUGAGUAGUUGUGCGGUCGUCAAUUAUUGUCGUUGCUGUUUUAAAAGUAUUCUGUCCCUUUACUCUUCGAGGGGUGCACGGGUGUACUGUACUUCUUUUGUCUUUUUGUGGCAUGAAUGCAUUCACGUGAAUAGGGUCAGAGGGCAUCUUGCUGACUCGUCAGUACUUGUCACGAGCGAAUAGUAACUCCCGAGAUGGGUGGUGGUUGUGGUGUCUGUCUAUAAAUAGACUGCCAUGGAAGUCGAUCAAAAUCAGGCUUGAGUAGCGAUGGACUGCUUUCGACUAGUGUUAUUUGAUUGUAGAGAAGCUUCAAAGAGUACUCCGGUGCUAGAAGAUUCCUCGUACAUUAGAGCCACCUUCCCUCCACAGACUCUAGCGCUCGUAGGGAUAGCCGCGAUGCUAGAAGAAUCCUCAUAGGAGGGUUCGUCGCGUGCCUCAUCUUGCAGCUCGUGAUCCAGCUAAGUCCAUGCUGGAACUCACGAGUGAUGGGUGAUGAGUGUCGCGGUCUUUAUUCGGCUCUCUUAUUAGAGGUGGAGGUGUGUCAUCCAGUGUGGGACGGCUCGCCGCGACUAGCAAGAGAGCAGCCUUGUUUUUUCUCCCUUAUGCAGCACUCAGGAUUCAUCAUUGCUACUAUUGAGGUAGUGGCGGUGAAGGAGUAUCUGGUGUUGUUUGGGAGGAGGACCUGGAUAUGGCUGCAUUUUGCGCAGCUUCCUUGCAUGUGGACCCUUCACUUUGUAGUAGUCGUUAGGCUUGUGUGGCUUUGUGAUAUUGUAAAAGCCUGAGGCUUAAAUGCAGACUGCCAGUAGGAAAUUGCUUGUAGUCUUUGCUGUGCUGUUAUGUUUUAUUUUGGGUACCCUUAAUCUAUUAUGAGUAAUCACAUGUAACUUCAAAAUUUUCUUCUUGAAUCAGUCUCGAGUAAAAAAUUGCUUUGCCCUUUGAGGUUUUGGAACUCAUACUGAGGCUGUGGUGCCUGCUGACCUUUGAUAAAGUCGUGUGUCAAGAGUAGAGCAUCUGCAGUCGGUAGUCGGGCUGUCGGCUCUGAGUAGCUGGAAUGAGUUUGUUUUGAGAUGCUUGGGGCGAAGGCUCAAUUACAUUUGUCUACUAUGGGUAGUAGUGACAGAGAUGUUCUAUAUUCCAGGAAUAUGGUACUUGUUCUCCUAAAAGUUCUUGUAGUCUGUAAGAUCUGGGUCCUGUGACCUUGGAUACGAUGUAGGGACCUUCCCAUGGUGAAUUGAGUUUAUGCAACCCUGAUGUGUUCUGGAUUCGUUUGAGAACCAUGUUGCCUAAGUUGAAGGAUUGCUCCUUAACAUUGCGGUUGUGGUAUCGUCUUAACCCGUCGAGGUAUCUAGCUGAUUGAACUAAUCCUACACAUCUCAUUUCUUCUAGACUGUCCAGAUCCGUGCGUCUUGUUUCUUCUGCCAUUCCUUCAUCGUAUUGUUCGACUGGAGGAGACUGCCAUAUGACAUCCGCAGGUAAGAUAGCUUCUGAGCCAUAUACCAGAAAAUAGGGGGAGAACCCGGUAGUCUUGCAUGGUUGGGUUCGUAGUCCCCACAGAGCAUUAGGUAGCUCUUUGAGCCAUUUGCCUCCUUUUGUAUUGCUGAUAUCGUAUAGCCUUUUCUUGAGAGCUUCGAGUAUCAUGCCGUUGGCAUGCUCGACUUGUCCGUUGGCUCGUGGGUGAGCAACUGAGAUGUAGCGGACAUCAAUUCCACUAUUCUCGCAGUAUUCCCAGAAGUCGUGGUUGUUGAAGUUGGAUCCCAGGUCUGUGAUGAUUCUGUUUGGAAAACCGUAACGGUGUAUGAUUUCGUCCAAGAAGUCGAGGACUCGAUCUACCUUGGGGCAAGUGACUGGUUUGACCUCGAUCCAUUUGGUGAAUUUGUCGAUGGUCACAAGUACUCAUUUGAAACCUCCUAGCGCAGUUGGUAGUGGUCCUAUCAUGUCUAGCCCCCAGCAAGCGAAAGGCCAUGUUGGAGGGAUUGUGACUAGUUUGUAGGCAGGGACGUGUUGCUGUUUAGUGAAGAAUUGACAGCCUUGGCAUUUUCGGACUAUUUGUUUUGCAUCAGCCAACGCCAUGGGCCAGUAGAAGCCCACUCAGAAAGCUUUGCCUACGAUUGUUCGUGAAGAUGCGUGGUUGCCACAGACCCCUUUGUGAAUUUCUUCCAGGAUUUCUUGGCCGUCUUCUCGGGUGACACAUUUCGUGAGUACCCCUAAUGAUGCACUUUUUUUGUAGAGUUUGUCUCUGACUAGAACGUAAUUUUUUCCUUGUCAGGAGAUUUGCUCAGCUUGACUUUUAUCAGAUGGUAACUUAUGGUCUUUGAUGUAGUCGAUGAAGGGUGACCUCCAGUCGACUUCUAUCAUCAUAAUUUCCCGAUUAGUUUCUGUAGUCUUGACCACUGAUGGUGUAACUUGUUCUGGUAAAGACGGUUUAUGGAGUUUGUGUACAAAAAUUCCUGCUGGAACUUUUGCACGAGUCGAGCCCAUUUUUGAUAAUACAUCAGCGGCUACGUUGUUAUUGCAGAUGACAUGAUGAAAUUCCAAGCCUGAGAACUUGUUUUCCAGUUUACCUACUUCUUUGUAGUAGGCGUCCCUGUUGUCCUUGUUUUGAUACUGUUGAUGCCGGAUUUUGACAUGUUUUGAAUCGGCGUCAGGGAAGGAAGAGAUUGGCUGAUGCGGCGAACUUAAGGGCUACAAUUAGAAAUCGGCCGAUUGGUGCUACAGUUAGGAAUCGACCGAUUGGCGCUGCAAUGUUUCGGGCGAUUGGCAAAUGGAGUUGGUGGAGGUUGGCCGAUGGGGAAACUGGGCCAAUAUGGGUAUGGUGGGCCAGAGAAAGAAGAUAGAGAAAGAUUGGCCUGUGGACAAUGAUAACCAACUCCGAUACGAGUUGUGCUUGUAAAUAUUCGUUUUCGUUUAAAAUUAGAGAUAGAUCCUAGUCGGUUAGGAAAUCAGUUGUAACAGGCUAUAAAUAGCCAUCUUUAGAGAUUUGUAAAAAAUAUACAUCAAUCAAUACAAAACAAUCUACUUUUUCAUCAUACUUUACUUUCAAGUCGGCGACUUCGCCAAUACUUUUUUCUUCAUGAGUUCGUACGGGUUGGCAGGGCUGCAUCGACACGAUCUCCGACCGAUUCUGUAAGUUCUGUUUAUCGAGUAACAUCUAAGCUUUAACUUCGGGUGCAUCACUAUCGUUUCGUUUAGAUUUAUUCACAAGUUAUCGAUAUUAACUAAAAUUAUAGGUUUCAUCUAUUGUUUUUGUUUUAUCACCAGUUAUCCAGCUUGAGAUUUGAACUGUUUGCUUUGUCAUUAUUAUUCUUAUUUAUCAUUAUCGUAUAGCCGAUUAGAUCUACUUCAAGUGUUGCAUCCGUAGCUUUGUCUAGUUUACUCUAGUAGUUUUCUUCACAAUCGCUACAUGAUUAUCGGUUGUAUUAUAGCCGGUCAUCUUUAUAGCAAAUUGGUCGAUUCGCUGAUACGCUUUUCGAGACAGAUCCAAACUUUAGCCGAUCGAAACCCCUGGAAUUUAACACGUUUCUUUCCUUGUCAAUCAACAGGUCAGAUUGACUGGCACGCCACGCGAACCGCACCAGGGCGAUCACCCGAACAGCAGCUAAGCAGAUUCUCCCGGGUCGUGUGUCCGACGCUGAAGGCCAUCGGCCGAUUUCUAGCGCCAACACACUUUUGGCACGCCCGGUGGGACCACUUCAACAUCCAACAUGUCGAAAGCUGCUGAAAUCUCCGAAGACAACGUCAUUGAGGUGAUGGAAGCAGAUCUCAAGGACAACCAGAAAGAAGGGUUGGCAAGGCACAUGGAGCAAUACAGGAAGACAUGCUUGCAAUCUUUCAGUCGUACCAAAAGCGGGGAGACCGUCAAGAAAGCUCCUCUUCCAACUCCCCGCCAGAUCACCGUCACUGAGGACUCGGGCAAGAUGUCCGAUAUAAUUCAACAAUCCGUCUAUCAGGCUUCCAUCGACCAAUCCCCGGUGAUGACCAACACGGUGUACAAUGCCGUCAUCAGUUCCCUAGCCAAUGGGGUAGCUCAAGGAUAUCAGGGGCCAGCGUACGCCCCGCCCAUUGUAACCCCAGUCAGGAGCCUACCAAGCACAUCUCACUCGGCUGCUCAGCCGAUACCGACACAACAUGGAGGAUACAACACUCCAUUGCCUUCAAUGCCUCCAGGAUACAACGGUGCGCCAUAUUUUCAAUCACAAGCACUGCCUCAGCCUGCCCAGAUUUCCUCCGUGCAAUCAUUGCCCUCAAACUCAGUGCCUUGGGGGGCACCGACAACGGCGACUGUUCUGGACCUAUCAGCCGGUUAUGGAGGCUCUCUGAUCCAAGCAUCAUUCCAAUCGGCCAUUCGGCCGACGGUCCCACAAUAUCAACCGGCCUCAUUAGAAAUCGGCAGGGGGGCAGACGCUACGGAAAUACUCAGAAGCGCGGUGCUGAUGACGCUGUACGAUGGGAUGGCAGAUUUGCUGUGCCACCAGCUGUCAACUGCUCAGCCGGCCACGCUGCUGCAAUAUCCAUCACACGCUUUGAUCCACCACCCAACCAUCCCACCGCUGAUCCAUCAACAUGCGCCGAUCCCUCAACCAGUUGUUCAUCAGCAGCAAAUGGAUUGGACAACAAGGAUAGCGGAGGUGAUUCAAGAUCAAUUCGGGUUGAAGCUGAAGGUACAAACCUAUACGUACAAGACGCCAUACCCUCCAACCUACGAUCUGCUGUCGUUUCCCCAUAGGUACAAAGUUCCUGACUUCACCAAGUUUUUGGGACUGGACGACACUUCAACUGUGGAGCAUGUAAAUAGGUUCAUCAUCCAAUGCGGAGAGGCUGCCGCACAAGAUGCUCUGCGGGUGCGUUUGUUCUCAUCGUCGUUGUUCGGAUCGGCUUUCCAGUGGUUCACCACGCUACCGCCUAAUUCCAUUGUUACUUGGGUUGAUUUGGAAAAACAAUUCCACAAAUACUUCUAUGCAGGAGUCCACAAGAUGAAACUCUCAGAUUUGACCAGCCUCAAGCAGAGGAGCGACGAACCAGUGACCAAUUACAUGCAGAGGUUCAGAGAAGUCAGAAAUAAAUGCUACACCCUAGUCCUGACCGAUGCGCAGUUGGCCGAUAUCACCUUCCAAGGUCUGCUGCCACACAUCAAAGAGAAGUACGCUUCCCAGGAUUUUGAAAGCUUGAGUCAGAUCGUUCACUGAUUGGCCGGACAAGAAGUACGCUCUUUUGAUCAGCGGAGAAAUUUUCAGAAAAAAGUGGCAUACUUGGAGGGAUCUGAAUCUGAGGAGGAGGCAGAAAUCGGCCUAGCAGAAUGGGUCAAGGGGAAGAAGCCGAUAUCAUGCCCGUUCGGAAAAAAGGAACCAGAAGCGUUCGGUUUUGACACAUCAAAGGCCGACAAAAUUUUCGACUUACUUCUUCAGGAGGGUCAAAUCAAACUCUCACCUUAUCAUACGAUCCCAUCGGUCGAGCAGCUCAAAAAGAUGAAGUAUUGCAAGUGGCACAAUGCCACAUCUCACGACACAAACGAGUGCAAGGUCUUCCGUCAGCAGAUACAAUCGGCCAUUGAGCAAGGCAGACUCAAGUUCGAGUUCCCAACAAAGCCAGUAAAGCCAAUGAAGAUUGAUUAGCAUCAUUUCCCCACUAACAUGGUUGAUACGGGGAGAAAUGUGCUUCAAACCAAGGUGCUGACGUCAGAAUCGGCUAAGAGAAGCGGCGCCGUGGACCCCAGAAAUCAGGCUACGGUGGAAGAUGUCAAAGGGAAAAGACAGGUCGAAGACGAUGGUGAAGGAUCGGAGAGAUCGCGUAGACCCAUCACAUCCCAAUUCUUACUCAGCAAGUACCAGCGACAGCAAGAAAAUUCGAGAUACCAAGAAGAGAUGAUGCGACGACACGAAGAUCACUGGCGGUACCCGUUUUUCAUCCACUGCUGGGAAAAUAACCUCAGAUUACCAUCAGCUGAUAAUUGCCCAGAGUGUAAUGGUCCAUAUCACGACAACCACCCAUCCAAGAGGUCACGUUCUAGAGACAGAGGAUUAGAGCCAAUCAGCAGAAAUUGGCGCGAAUAGGAGGAUCGGCGCCCUUCAGUGCGUGAUCGGCUGGGGGGCAGAGUUGACCGGUAUGAUCGGCCAAGGGGCAGAGCUGAACAGUACGAUCGGCAGGGGGGCAGCAUUGACCAGCACAAGCGGCUGGGGGGCAGAACCAGCGCACAUGAUUGGCUAUAGGAAAUGGCCGACGCAAAGGUGUCAGACGAAAACCCCCUAGGACGGGAACCAGACUGGGAACGUGCAAGACCGCCGGUCAAACCAGUGAACCCCAGGUGGUGCCCUGAUGGCUUGACCAAAUCCUAGAAACGAAGGAUCCAGCGUCUGCGCUAAUGGGAACAAUAAGAAGAACAACAGAGGCAGAUGGUGGAUAAGAAAGAUGACAGGUCUCGAGUCUAGCGUCCCAAAAGAAACAACAACAAGGAAGCCGACAAUCAGGAAUCGGCAGCUGAUGUCAGUAUGGUUUUCAUCUUGCCGAUGGAGUUCAUGGCUCCCGCCGAUCGGGACGACACGACAAGGAUGGAAGAGCAGAUGGCGCAAUUGGCUUUGGAGCCAAUGACAGCCACUUUUGAGAAACCGGAGGAUGAAAAAUGACAACAUCUCAAGGCUCUGUUCCUCAAAGGACACGUCAACGGAUGACCUGUCACUAGACUACUCGUAGAUGGAGGCGCCGCGGUCAAUAUCAUGCCAUAUGCCAUGUUCAAAAAAUUGGGCAAAAGCGAUGAAGAUAUGACCAAGAUGGACAUGAUGCUCAAAGACUUCGAAGGCAAUGUGUCUCCCGCCCGCGGGGCGCUCUGCGUCGACCUCACCAUUGGCAGUAAGAACCUUCCCACUACUUUCUUUAUUAUUAAUGGCAAAGGGUCCUACAACAUGUUGCUUGGUCGCGAUUGGAUACACGCGAAUUGCUACAUCCCGUCUACAAUGCACCAAUGCCUCGUACAAUGGGUUGGCAACAACAUCGAGAUAGUCACCGCCGAUUCCAACUAUAGUGUUGCUGCGGCCGAUGCGCAGCAGUGGAGCUGCCAAAAUGUCAAGUGCAUAUCCGGUAGAACUUGGGACACCGAUUUCCUAAAAGUGUCCGAUUUUAGCCUAUAGUCCAUCUGAGCAGUUGGCUCUGAAGGAUCAAAUUAGAUGGAUCAGUUCGUUCGAGAAGACGGGAAGCUUGGGCAUGGAUUUACGUCGGCCGAUUCGUUGGAGAUGGUGGAUUUAGGAGAUGGUAGCAAACCAAGGCCGACGUAUAUUAGUGCUAACUUGGAUCCCGAAUACAAGUGUAAAUUAACAAGUUUAUUAAAAGAAUUUAAAGAUUGUUUCACUUGGGAAUACCAUGAGGUUCCUGGUCUAGACCGGUCCAUUGUCGAACACCGGUUGCCUAUAAAACUAGGAUAUCGGCCAUAUCAGCAGCCUGCAUGACGAUGCAACCCUAAAAUUCUACCUGAUAUAAAGGCCGAGAUUACAAGACUGAUUGAAGCAGGAUUUAUUCGGUAGUGCCGUUACACCGAGUGGAUUUCUAAUACUGUACUCGUGUACAAGAAAAACGGGAAGUUGCGCGUAUGCAUCGACUUUAGGAACUUAAAUCAGGCAACGCCGAUGGAUGGAUAUCCAAUGCCGACAGCCAAUGUUUUGAUAGAUGCCGCCAUAGGACAUAAAGUCAUCAGUUUUAUGGACGGUAAUGCAGGGUACAACCAAAUAUUAAUGGCCGAACAAGAUAUUUCGAAAAUGGCUUUCAAGUGUCCGGGCCACCUUGUUUUAUUUGAGUGGGUAGUAAUGACCUUUGGGUUGAAGAACGCCGGUGCCACAUAUCAACGAGCUAUGAAUUAUAUUUUUCACAAACUUAUUGGUGUAUUGGUGGAAAUCUACAUCGAUGACGUCGUGGUCAAGUCAAAAGGACAUCAGGAACAUCUGGCCGAUUUGCGAGAAGUAUUGGAAUGCAUAAGGAAGCAUGGGUUGAAAAUGAACCCACACAAGUGUGCGUUCGGUGUGUUGGCCGGACAAUUCCUAGGAUUCAUGGUUCAUGAGCGUGGGAUAGAGGUCAACCAGAAGAUCAUAGCUACCAUUAACAAGGUUGUGACCCCACAGAAUAAAACUGAGUUGCAAUCCCUAAUCGGCAAAGUAAACUUAAUCAGAAGAUUCAUAUCCAAUUUGUCCGGGCGUAUUCAAGCUUUCACUCUAUUGAAGUUGAAAUCCGAUCAGGAAUUCGUGUGGGGAGAAGAACAGUGAAAAGCAUUAGAAGACAUCAAGAGAUAUCUGGUUUCGCCACCUGUAUUAGUCCCGCCACAGGUUGACAAGCCAUUUAGACUAUACUUGUCGCCCGACGAACGAGCUAUCAGAUUGGCGCUGGUACAGGAGUUUGAAGGAAAAGAACGUGUAAUAUAUUAUGUCAGCAGAAGACUUCUGGACGCUGAGACAAGAUAUUCCCCGGUAGAGCGGUUGUGCCUGUGUCUGUAUUUCUCAUGUACCAAACUCAGGCACUACCUGUUAUCGGUAGAGUGCAUAGUCGUAUGCAAGGAUGACGUGGUAAAGUACAUGCUAUCAUUGCCAAUUCUGAAAGGACGAAUUGGAAAGUGGAUCCUAGCUCUAUCAAAGUUUGACCUAAGGUACGAAUCGGCCAAAGCUAUCAAGGGGAAAGUCAUGGCCGAUUUCGUGGCUCAGCAUUGCGGACCGGAAAUCGUUGCCGUUGAACCAGUUCCAUGGAAUCUAUACUUCGAUGGUUCUUCAUGUGGGGCCGGGUCAGGAAUCGGCAUUGUCCUCAUAUCACCUCGGGGGGCAAGCUAUGAUUUCUCUCUGCCGAUAGAAGCAUCCGCGACCAACAAUCAGGUGGAAUACCGAGCUGUCUUAAAGGGCAUUCAAUUAUUAAGAGAGAUCAAAGCCGACGCUGUGGAAAUUUUUGGGGAUUCCAUGCUCAUCGUAGAUCAAUUAACGGGGAGAUCCGAAUGCAAAGAUGACGUCUUGAGAAUUUACUACGAAGAUUGCCUCCAACUUUUAAAAGGGUUCAAGUCCGCGGUUAUUGAGCAUAUUCCCAGAAACUACAAUGAAGAGGCCAAUAGGCUUGCCCAACACGCGUCCGGGUAUCGGCCGAUUCAAGGCGCUAUGACUGUGUAGCUCGCGGCCGGCGAUUGGCGAAAGGAGAUCGCCGAUUACUUCAAGGAUCCAUCCAACAAAGUGGAUCGGCGAGUGCGUUUUCAAGCCACGAAAUAUUUGCUACUUGAAGAUGAUUUGUUUUAUCGAACAAUUGAUGGAGUUCUGCUCAAAUGCCUGGGAACGGAAGAAGCAAAGAUCCUGAUGGAAGAAAUCCACGAAGGCGUGUGCAGAGCUCACCAGUCGGCUCACAAAAUGAAGUGGAUGAUUAGAAAUAACGGGUCUUAUUGGCCGACGAUACUCGAAGACUGCUUUAAAUAUUAUAAAGGGUGUCAAGACUGUCAGAAGUUUGGCAACGUGCAGCGUGCACCAGCCUCGGCUAUGAACCCGAUAAUCAAGCUAUGGCCAUUGAGAGGUUGGGGAAUAGACCUCAUCGGACAGAUUUAUCCUCCAUCAAGCAAGGGACACAAGUUCAUAUUAGUAGCCACUGACUAUUUUACGAAGUGGGUGGAGGCAGUCCCAUUGAAGGCCAUGACAUCGGCUGCUAUGGUCGAUUUUGUAAGGGACCACAUUGUUUAUCGGUUCGGUCUCCCUCAAACCAUCAUACCUGAUCAAGGGACGAUGUUCACUUCAGGAGAGUUCGAAGAGUUCACCGCCGAUAUGGUAAUUAAGUUGUUGAAUUCUUCUCCGUAUUAUGCUCAAGCUAACGGUCAAGCUGAAUCGUCCAAUAAGGGGAUAAUCAAGUUGAUCAAGAGGAAGAUAGAAGAGCAACCUAAGAAGUGGCACCUAUGUUUGACUGAGUCUUUAUGGGCUUACAGGAUGGCCUGCCACGGGGGCCACUAAAAUAUCUCCUUAUCAAUUGGUAUAUGGUCACGAGGCAGUAUUGCCUUGGGAAUUAAGGAUGGGGUCAAGACGCACAUCGCUUCAAGAUUAGUUGACGGCCGAUGACUAUUCCCUCCUCAUGAAGGGAGAGCUCGACGAUUUGGCAGGUCAGCGAUUAAGGGCCCUGAUCAGCAUUGAACAAAACAAGAAAAGGGUGGCCAGGUGGUACGAUAAGAGAGUCAAGGUCAAUCAAUUCUCUCAAGGAGAUUUGGUAUGGAAGUUGGUGUUGCCGAUAGGGUCUAAGGAUCCCAAGUUCGUUAAAUGGUCGCCCACUUGGGAAGGGCCGUAUAGAAUUGGCCGAUGCGCUCCGGGAAAUGCGUAUAUACUGGAAACUAUCAAAGGAGAGGAAUUCGUGAGGGACUUGAAUAGGAGAUAUCUGAAAAGAUACUAUCCUAGUAUAUGGGUGGAUGUGUAACUGAUGAUAAGGUGCAUCAAGAUGACGUGGCCAACUCCUAUUGGCUCAUGUUGGUAUGGCCGAUGUAGAAAUAACAUCGCCUUAAGGACGAGACAUUCAACUGAUCUAGCCGAUUUAUUGUUCGGUACAAACGACAGGGUACAUGGCCGACACAGUACAAGUCAUCCUUAGAACAAAAAGUACCAACACAUUUAUUGACCACGCUUUUUCUUAAUCUCCCUCUCGAUCCGACCUAAUUCUAUCAAGAGGCGGAUGCUUUUUUCCUCCAGAUCCUCCAUCGCAGCUUCAACCUCAACCUGACGAGGGAGUGGGUGGCUCCUGUCAAGAGGUGGUUGGGAUGUCCCCGCCGCAGCAUCCUCAAGGGCGACCGGGCGAGGAAGUGGAUGACUCCUUUCAGUUGGCGGCCGCCUGGAGCAGUUGGCAUCUAUAUGGUCCCAAACCCUCGGGACAUCAGCAGGAACAUGAUCUUUGAGUUCUUCGCGAUGAGCCCUGAUCAGAUCUCUGUCCGCCUACGACAACGGUCCGUCUUAAUGCAUGACCUCGAUCACUCGUUCCAGCUCAGGACUAAGGCGCUUCGGCUGAAAAGGGGCAGCAAGUAGCCACCCGGCAUCAGAUCAAUUGAAAAACCAGACGGAGGAACGAAGGAAGAUGUCGUACCUAGUUGACGGAGAAAGAAGAAGAGGAAGAAGACAUGUCCGCACCUAGUCUGAAGAUAUGGAGAUUAAACUACCAGGGGAAAAGAGGAAGGGCGAUGUGAAUAUCUUCAGAAAUGAUACGGAGCCUCAUACUUAUAGAAGGAAAGGGAUGAGGGGAUGGUAAGACGCGUCCCAUCGGAGUAAAAGGGUUAAUAAAUAAAAGGCUACCACGAAGGACGGCUCAGGUUUGAAUCCACACGUCAACGGCCAAAGGACAUAGAUGUUUACAAAGCAUUCAGUACUUUUACAGUUCACCCGAGGAGGGCAUUAAUAGCCGUGAUCGCUUGUUGCCUAACUUGAUCGGCCGAGUCUAAGGUUCUUUGGUCAUCAUCAGCCGAUCCAGGGACUUCUGGCAUAUGACGAUGGAUUUUUAUUGCUUCAUGGGCCAGGUUUUGCCUCUCCUGCUUCAGCUCGGCAAUGGCAGACGGGAGGUCUUGAACUCUCUUUUCUUCGAUGGCUAUGGCCUUGGUCACCUGCUCCAUCUCCUUGGCAAGCUCUGCCCUUCGCCGUUUAAGGCGAUCUAUAGCACAAACAAUAUCCGGGCGAGAGCUUUCAAGGAAACUAAUUCAGUGAUGUACCUUUUGGGCUUGAUGUUUGUAGGAAUCUUUCUCCUCGCAGGCUUUCGCUAAUUUGGCGCGAUUGGCCAUGUGACGCAAGGCCCUGAACACUGGAACCCGCAUUGACUCAAUGUAUGCGGCGGGUGCAAGAGCCUCUUUUGCCUCUUCGGGAACUCGGCCUCUAAUGUCGCUGAAAAGCCGCCGAAUCGGCGAGGCGUCUUCCACUAAUCGGCUGAUGUCAUUUUGGAGAAGGGUUUGUAUGCUCUCAAGCUUGGCACAGACGUCAUCAGGGAUCGAGCUCAGUGCGACUUGGCGUGAGGCAACCUCUUCAUCAUCAGAAAAUGUGACCACAAAAGAGAAAAGACUGUUGUUGGGGGUAUCUUGCUCCUGAGAAAGAGUAAAUAAGUAAAUAUGGAUUAGCCGACAGUAAUUGGAAAUCGGCCAAUUUGGGUGACAGGAUUCUUACCUCUUUGAAGCGAAUUUCUUCUGCUUGCGCCAGCGGGAGUGCUGCUCUCAUCUCGGGAACUGGCGCGACUGGUUCAUCGGAAGAGGAAGAUUCGACGAUUAUCAGUGCUCUGCUCAGGCCAGCUUCCUGGAAAGGUACAAGGAGCAGAUUUUUAAGUAUAAUGCAAAUGAUUAAGUCUGGUGAUAUAUAAUGACUGCCAUACCUCUGUGAAAAAAAAAGUCGCCCGACCAAUGGUUGUUGGAAUGGUACAAUCGAUGUGCCUGGGGUAGCCUGCAUCGAAAUCGGUUAGUUUUUGGUUGAGCAUAAAAAUUGAGUUAAGAGACUCUUUACCUCGGUGGGAGGAAUUGCUGGUGUUCCGGUGUCUGCCUGGAAUAUAGCCGAUUGCUGCGGAGGUUGCACUGGGGCGAUUUGUGCAGCCUGACAGAAAGGAGAAGUUAAUAUCGACAGAAUACUUAGGAGGAUGUGAGAUAUGCGAGGUUACCUGAAUAGCUUCUACCAGCAAUGAUGCAGCAGCCGCUCUAGCUUCCGUAGCAGCCUGGGGAUCGACUUCCUCAACAAUCGGCAGAGUUGGCGCAACUAAAGAUUCAGCUGAUGCCGCCACCAACUGAUCGGCUAAUUCUAUGCGAGCACGCACUCGGCGACUCGUCUUCUUUGAAGUUUUCUUCAACGUUUGUUUUGAUUGGCCGGUGGUGAUAUCUUCAAUGGAUGGGGCAUGAUAGCCGAUGAGUGGGAAUGGCGUGUAUGGGUAGCGAUUCUCUAUCGGCCUACCACUCCGGCUGUGCGUUGGAGGAAGUCGACUUUCAGACUGCAAAAGGAAAAACAAGAAUUAGCGGCAAAUUUGUAACAUAAAAAGAAAUAAUAUUGAAACUGGAUGGGAAGGGAGCAUGUACCUCUGCAUUUGGAUCGAUAUUGUCGGGGCCCAGAUCAUUGCAAUACGUUGCAGGGGAUGUACAAAAGAGGUGCUGCUUCCAUUCUGCCCACCAUAGUUUGAAUAUUUGGACAGCAAAAGGAGCCACUAUCCAUUUGUUUAGAUCGAUGGUGUUGGAGUCUGGCACUAGAUUGCACAACCGAUUGUAAUCGGGACCCUUGGUGAGCUCGUCCCGGAAUUUUGCACGGCCGGCAAAGUAAACUUGAAUCGGCAGCUGACCGAGGCUGAACUGCCAUGCUGCAACUAAUGGGUUGUAAAACUCAUAAGUUGGGGAAUCCUUCCCAGAGAAGAAGUUCGCUAGUAAGAUCCCUGGCUUGAUCAAGGCGUCUGUGAGGUCAUUGUCAAAGGUGUUGGAUGUCGAAUCAUAAUAGAAGGGAAGCUCAAAAAGUGGCUCUGUUCUCUGGUAUGGGUACCAACUGGUAGAUUCUUCACUAAAGCCGUUGUAAAAGCAUCUGAAGUACUCGGCUGUCUGGGUGGCAGUGAACUGACAACCAGGGAAAGCUGAUGCUGCUUCGCUGAAAGAGGUGCAUCGGCACCGUACGAUGGGGUUUUCCUCUGACUUGAUGUUGGCGCCACCAGGGUUACCAAUCGGCUCCCCCUUUGACAAUUUGAUGCCGAUCUGGUGCAUCAUAUGGUAGGCCGAUCCCAAUAGGUGUUUCCCUAGAGGAACACUUGAUCCUCUCGACAGGGCUUCGGCCAGAGCUUGUGUGUUGGAAGAAGGGCCGACCGCUCUGCCGCAGAAAAAGUGCUUCUCUAGCCACAUCAUCAAGAAGGCGGCGUAUUCUCUUUCUAAAAUUGUCCUGGUCCUCUUGUUUCUGUUGAUCUAACCUUUCCACCAGCUGAUUCCUUUCGUUUCCAGCCGAUGGGUCGGCUUGACCAGAUAAUUGAAGGGUGUAUCGGGGGAGGAAAUAUCGAGGCUGAUCAACAUUAGAACAUCAGACAAAGUUGGGGUCAUGGGCCCGUGCCCAAAGAGGAACGCAUUAAGCGCGUCAGACCAGAAGUAAGAAGUUGCUAUCACCAAGGGCUCAUUUUUCUCCAUCUGGGACAAGGAUAGAUUGAUGCACUGGCCGAUUUUUAACUGAUCCCAUUGAACAUUCUUGGAGUUGGCCAUUCUUUGGAACCACUCUUUCCAGCCAGGAGUUUCAUUCGGCCAAGAUCUAAAAGUGCCCGACCACUGGUCCAAAUUCAUAGGUGAUUGCUUAAACGGGAUUCUAUGGGUUUCUAAAUUGAUCAUAUCGGUUGGGUUUGGGUUCCCCAUAGGGCCUAAGCAGAUAAGACCAGGAGCUUCGGAAAGGCGGAUGGUGAUUUGGUGUCUAAUCGCCUAAAAAAGGUAAAAAGGGAAGAACUAAGAAUGGAUCUAAAAGAUGCAUGGGCGGUAAAAAAAAGGAAAAGUUUGGGAUGCUUACCUCUGGGAUGAAGCUCAUCAUCGCUGAUGGGAUCGCUGGUGGAACCCCUGUCGCCGAUGGAGUUGCCGGCGGAGCCUUUGUUGCUGGUGGGACCGUUGCCGCCACUGAUGGAGCUGCCGGUGGAGCCUUCGUUGCUAGUGGAGUUGCUGAUGGUACCACCAUGGAAGGGAUGAAGCGGAAAGCAGAUGAAAGAAGGAUCGCUGGAGAAUGCGAUUAGAAGCCAAAAGGGCGUUGGGAGAAGAUGGAAAGUGAUUCGCCGGGAGGAAGUUACUGAGCUCGUGGAGAAGAAGCUGCAGGAAACGCCAGUAUUUAAAGACAGUCCAAGAGAAGGGGUAAAGGCGGGAUCUUUACCGUGCCGUCUAGACGAAUUUCGGGGGAGCGGUUGUCUCAGGCGCUCAGUUCGAAAAGAUUGCAAUCAUCAGGUGGAAGACUGCGAAACAGAAGGAGAUUUUUCGCUGCGUUUGUUUCAGAGGGGAGGUUAAAAAGAAAGAAUUUUGAAGUAAAAGUCAUGUUUUACUCUGAAACUGGGGGGCAUAUGUUGACGCCGGAUUUCAACAUGUUUUGAAUCGGCGUCAGGGAAGGAAGAGAUUGGCUGAUGCGGCAGACUUAAGGGCUACAAUUAGAAAUCGGCCGAUUGGUGCUAAAGUUGGGAAUCGGCCGAUUGGCGCUGCAAUGUUUCGAGCGAUUGGCAAACAGAGUUGGUGGAGGUCGGCCGAUGGGGAAACUUGGCCAAUAUGGGCUUAUGGUGGGCUAGAGAAAGAAGAUAGAGAAAGAUUGGCCCGUGGAGAAUGAUAACCAACUCCGAUACGAGUUGUGCUUGUAAAUAUUCGUUUUCGUUUAAAAUUAGAGAUAGAUCCUAGUCGGUUAGGAAAUCAGUUGUAACAGGCUAUAAAUAGCCAUCUUUAGAGAUUUGUAAAAAAUAUGCAUCAAUCAAUACAAAACAAUCUACUUUUUCAUCGUACUUUACUUUCAAGUCGGCGACUUCGCCAAUACUUUUUUCUUCACGAGUUCAUACGGGUUGGCAGGGCUGCAUCGACACGAUCUCCGACCGAUUCUGUAAGUUCCGUUUAUCGAGUAACAUCUAAGCUUUAACUUUGGGCGCAUCACUGUCGUUUUGUUUAGAUUUAUUCACAAGUUAUCGAUAUUAACUAAAAUUAUAGGUUUCAUCUAUUGUUUUUGUUUUAUCACCAGUUAUCCAGCUUGAGAUUUGAACUGUCGGCUUUGUCAUUGUUAUUCUUAUUUAUCAUUAUCGUAUAGCCGAUUAGAUCUACUUCAAGUGUUGCAUCCGUAGCUUUGUCUAGUUUACUCUAGUAGUUGUCUUCACAAUCGCUAUGUGAUUAUCGGCUGUAUUAUAGCCGAUCAUCUUUAUAGCAAAUCGACCGAUUCGCUGAUACGCUUUUCAAGACAGAUCGAAACUUUAGCCGAUCGAAACCCCUGGAAUUUAACACGUUUCUUUCCUUGUCAAUCAACAUGUCAGAUUGACUGGCACGCCGCGCGAACCGCACCAGGGCGAUCACCCGAAUAGGAGCUAAGCAGAUUCUCCUAGGUCGUGUGUCCGACGCUAAAGGCCAUCAGCCGAUUUCUAGCAUCAACAGAUACCAUUCGUCAUUGACUUGGUUUAUAAUGACUAGUGAGUCACAGUAUACGAGUAGUCUUUUGAUUCCGAGGGAGAUUUCAAGAUGAAGGCCGUGUAGCAGUGCUUCGUACUCGGCUUCAUUGUUUGAGACUUCCCAAAAGAUUUGUAGUUCGUAUUUGAGUUGGUCUCCUUUUGGGGAAAUGAGGAGUACGCCUGCGCCGGCUCCUUCGAGUUUGAGGGAACCAUCGAAGUACAUUACCCAGUGCUCUAGCCUCUCGACCGGUGUUGGCACUUGGUUUUCUGUCCAUUCAGCCAUGAAGUCGACCAAAGCCUGAGAUUUGAUGGUUGUCCUUGGUUUGAAGUCCAAGGAUAGGGCUCCGAGCUCUACUGCCCAUUUGGAAAUUCUACCCGUGGCAUCUCUAUUGUGGAGGAUUUCACCGAGCAGGAAGUCGGUGAUGACUGUAAUGGUGUGCUCUUGAAAAUAAUGUCGCAGUUUCCGUGAAGUGAGCAGAAUUUCGUAGAGCAGCUUCUAUAUUGGCGGGUACUGAGUUUUGGAGUUGGAGAGUUCUUCGCUGACGAAGUACACGGGUCUCUGGACUUUAUAAACGUGUCCUGGUUCGGAUCGUUCGACUACUACUGCGGUGCUGAUGACGUGAGUAGUAGUCGCUAUGUAUAGACGCAAGUCCUUGUUUGGAGAUGGAGCAGUGAGGAUUGGUGGUUUUGACAGAAAGUCUUUGAGUUGCGUCAAUUCUUUGUCUGCCUCUUCUGUCCAUUUAAACUUAUCCUGUCGUUUGAGAAGCUUGAAGAAAGGUAGUCCUCGUUCUCCAAGUCUUGAGAUGAAUCGAUUAAUGGCUGCCAUGUAGCCUGUGAGUUUCUGCACAUCCUGGAUGCUAGCUAGUGCAUGCAUAUUUGUGAUGGUAGAUAUUUUCUCUAGGUUGGCCUCAAUGCCGCGAUGGCUAAUGAUGAACCCGAGUAGUUUGCCGGAAGGUACUCCAAAAACGCAUUUGGUAGGGUUAAGCUUCCACCGGAAAGCUCGUAGGCUUGAAUUUUUUAGGUAGUCUUGUCCUCAUUACCUGAGUUGUGAAGGCGGGAAAGUGAUUUUAGUUGUCGACUUCCCGUUCACAAUGACUAUUGAUUAUUUCCCGUAGAUCUCUGAAAUUUGAUACUUCAUGAUUUUUCUUGAUAUGGCGAGGACUUUUUGCAGAAUUAGUGCAGCUGGCCUCUCCAACAUCCUUGUGUCGUACUAGGGCUUUGUGUUUGCUCAGUCCUUGGCUAUGUUGCCUUGGUUGGUUGACUACAUCAUUGUUAUUUUUUUGUGCUUCGUGGAAACCAUUGUUGACUGCAGCACCCCUACUGCCCUCUUGAUGAGCCGAAUUGCGAGGAACAUAUGGGAUUGGUGAUUCUUUAUCGAGUAGCUUGUAAGCUUGUUCUGCGAGUUGUGCAAUUAGUCCAUUGCCUCGUUGCACAAGUUGAGCUGUCAUUUCGUUGUCUCUAUCUCGAGGUAUGAGAGUUGAUAUAAGGUUGAUUGAGGCAAUUGCUGCGAGUGGAGUGUUGUGCUCUUGAGCUUGUAUUGCAUCAAAUGCUCUUUCAAGGUUUGUGAUGGGAAUGUUUGUAGCCAACAUUUGUCGGCGUUCAGCCCGAGUAAUAUUUCGCAUCCUUCUUUGGUUUCUUUGAUUGGAAGUUUCAUCUUGUGGGGUGCCAGCUGAUGACUCAUCCUCUGAGACAUUGUCGAGUUGUGCUAUCCGUCGAGGGGUUCUUUGUUGGCUAGUACCCACGUUGUUAUUUUGAGUAAUGACAAAGACUUCUCUGUCUGGGUAGUAGCUUCCAGAGCUUGAUGUUGCGAUUUCUGUGGAACUUUCCUCGUGGCUUGAAGUGAGUGGGACGCCUUCCUGGUAUGGAAGGUUGUCUAUAUGAGCGACGAGGCGUGACUCGUAGUCGUGGGCAAAGAGAGAUGGUCUCAUUCCUGGCCAGUGAACGAAUCUGCCUUGCGGCAUUGAAGUGACUACCAAACCUUGGGCUGGCCCUGAUAAUGGAAUUUCUUGAACGUAGUCCAAGUCGGAGUCGUCAUCCUUAUCUUCCCCGUGUUCGAGUUGAGUUUGAGUGAGGAGACCUUGGUAGACUUCGGCUGUAUUGCGGAGUCCGUAUGGGAACCGUUUUGGAGUCAAAGUUGACUUGUGAAGUGACUGGGAUUGACUAGUCCGAACUGGGGUCGAGUCCGAAGUGUAGGCAAACUCGGUGUUUCUGAUUUUGAAGUUUUGGUUUCUCCUGACCAAAUCCUCUGUUUUUGGCUGAGAAAGCUUUCGUCGAGAGGUUUCUUCUCCUGGAUGUUGAUGAUUUGGUGCUGAAAUGAUCCAGCACCGACGUUGAUGCAGAGCCAGGAUCCGAAAAUGAAAGUUGCGCCUGCCUUGAAGGUGAAACCAGGCUUGAUAACGACAGGUGCCAUUGAACUCACGCGGAAAAACUCGGCGACCACCCCUACCUGGCACGCCAGCUAUCCGUGUUCUAGACCGGCAACCCGCCUUGGGGGUACCCUAGGUGGACUUUUGUGCGGUGGGUGUCAUCGAGAAUCAAGGAGUCAAUGGUGACACAAGGGACACAAUUUAGACAGGUUUGGGCCGCUAGAUCACGUAAUACCCUACGUCCUGUGAGUUGAUUGCAUUGAACUUAGAUGUAUUGAGAGAGUUGUCUUUGAGGGGGUCCCUGCCUACCCUUAUAUACUCGGGAGGGCAGGGUUACAAGUUUGAAUCCUAGUCGGGUACGAUUACAAAGUUCUACUCGAUGUAGACCGAGUAGUUUCCAUGUGCACACCUAACUAGUCCGAGUGGGAUAUGCUUCUUGCCGCGUAGCCCCCUAGUCUUGAUUAUGUCCGAGUACGCCCCUUAGUGGGCCGCACAGGACCUACUCAUGGGCCUGGGAUGUAUGUCCGACACUCUCUUCACUCGCAAAAAGGAUAACAAUAUUUUUGUAUGCCAAAUAUAUGUCGAUGACAUAAUAUUUGGUUCUACUAAUCAAGUGUGGAUUGAUGAAUAUAGUAGAAUCAUGACCAAGAGAUUCGAGAUGUCCAUGAUGGGAGAGUUGAAGUUCUUUCUAGGUUUUCAAAUCAAGCAACUCAAGGAUGGCACCUUCAUAAGUCAAACAAAAUACACACAAGAUAUCCUCAAGAAGUUUGAUAUGGAGAAUGACAAGCCCAUCAAGACCCCUAUGCCAACAAAUGGACAUCUUGAUCUAAAUGAAAAUGCUAAGAGCGUGGAUCAAAAGGUAUAUCGGUCCAUGAUUGGCUCAUUGCUUUAUCUUUGUGCAUCUAGGCCUGAUAUUACGCUUAGUGUGUGCAUGUGUGCAAGGUUUCAAGAUAAUCCUAAAGAAUGUCAUCGUAUGGCCGUUAUGAGAAUCCUAAGAUAUCUAUUACACACUCCUAACCUUGGCUUGUGGUAUCCUAAGGGCUCCACUUUCAAUCUACUUGGCUAUUCUGAUUUGGAUUAUGCCAGUUGCAAAGUAGAUAGAAAGAGUACAUCCGGGACUUGUCAAUUCCUCGGUAGGUCCUUGGUGUCUUGGAGUUCUAAGAAACAAAACUCCGUUGCCCUAUCCACCACCGAGGCCGAGUAUGUUGCAGCCGGUGCUUGUUGAGCUCAACUACUUUGGAUGAGGUUCACCUUGAGAGACUUUGGUUGUGAGUUUAACAAAAUACCUCUCUUGUGUGACAAUGAGAGUGCCAUAAAACUAGCAAAUAACCCCAUGAACUACUCUUGAACAAAGCACAUUGACAUAAGACACACUUCCUAAGAGAUCAUGAAGCCAAAGGAGAUAUCGCCCUUAGCCAUGUGAGCACCAAAAAUCAAUUAGUCGAUAUCUUCACAAAGCCUCUUGAUGAGCAAAGGUUUUGUGCUUUGAGGAGUGAACUAAAUAUUUUGGAUUCUCGUAACAUAGCUUGAAAUCAUGUGCAUAUUCGAGUCACCUAGGAUAGAUGUGUUCAAAAUGAAAAUCUUUACUAAAAAUUGAAGUGUGUUUUUACUUUGAAAAAGUUUGGAUUUACUUUGGAUAUAUCACUUGGAUCAUUUUUCUCAUUGAUUGCUUGUUGUCUGAUCUCAAGUGAUAAAUCUAGUCAUGCUCAUAUAGUUUUUCAAGCCAUAGUCAUCCGAAUCUAUCCCAAAUCAAAUUUGACUCAAAUUUAGUGGCUGAUUGCCAAGGGGAGCAGAAAUUUCCGGACAUUCCAGAACUUUUUCCGAAAACUUCCAGACAUCCGGAAUUUUCCAGCGAUUCUUCUUAAAACUUCCAGAACUUCAAGGGUAUAUCUAUUUACUAGGGGGGUGAACCGUUCAGUUACCCUCAUUCAUCUUUUUACCGCCUCCCCCUCUCCCCUUUCUCUCAAACUUUCGCCCCCAUGGCGAUUUUGAGUUUCUACCGACCAAACUUCGCUUCAAUCAUCAAGAUAGACCACAUUUGCGAAGGGGAAUCACGUGGAAGUGUUGGAUUUCAUUUUUGGAUUCUUGUUCAUCCUCAACCCUAAGGUACCUUUUUGGAAUCUCCCGAUCUCUUAACCUAGAGGGUUUCCUAGGAUUUCACUUGGAUAGAAGUCAUCUCAUCUCAAUCCAGUGGACGAUCUAUCGACUAGGAGAAGUUAGGGUUUCAACCGUGAGAUCCAGAAACUUCCGAACAUUUCCAAAAAUAUCCGGAAAUCUCCAGACAUUUGUCCGGAAAUCUCCAAAGACUCUGGAAAAAUCCGGACCUUUGUCUGGAUAUUUCUGAAUCUCCCUGUUGAACCCUAAACUUCAAAUAUUUGAUAGAUUUUUCAUUGCUCCUUGCUUAUCCCUUUUAUCAUCUUGUUCUAUUUAGAUGGGUAGGCAAUGAGUUCCUUCCACAUGUGACACCCAAAGGAGGACCAAAGCAAAGUAUGAUCCCAACCCUCCAAGGGAAAUAAGUGAGGAGGAGGAAGAUGAGGAUGUUGAGAUGAGUGAGGAGGAGGAGUCUCCUCAAGAGUAGCAGUUUGUGAUUCAGAGCAGGAGGAAGGGCAAGGAGCCUGUUCAGACCUCUUCACGUCAAUCCUCACAUGGGCGUGAGGCACCUUACAUCAUGCAAUCUAUGCCAGUGUAGCCCAAGAUCAUCAAGAGGGACCGGGGCUUAGCUCAUGAGGUGUGUCCUAAUACUCUUGAGCACUUGGUGGUCACAUUUCAUCCGGAUCAAAGGACCGAGACUAUUUGUCUUAAGAUUCAUCCUACUCAAGUGCCACAUGGAUUCACUCCUCGGUUAGCAAAGAAUUACUAUAAUAAAUCUGUGGCUGUGAAGAAAGAGCGAAGCUAUGAUCCCUUCAUGUACAAGAAGAUGUCAGGAUAGAUGGGCGGUUUUGGAAUGACUUUCACAUGGACUUUUGUAGCUCAGUCAUCCUUCAGAAGCCAAAUAAGCCCCCCAUCGUCAAAAUGAGAUAUGUUGAUUGGGCAUUUUAUGAGAAUGAGAAUAAUGAGACCUUUAGGAAGAUAAUCAAGAAGUGAAAGGAGUUUGGACUAUAUGAGCUUUUGGGAUUUCAAUAUCAUUGGAAUGCAGAGAUUAUUGGCCAAUUCCAUAGCUCCUAUUAUUUUCAGGCAAGCUUCAAUUCUAUUCAUUGGACAACAGAGGGGGAGCAUUUGUAUGUGGAUUACAUGACCUUCUCUAGGAUUUUGGGGCUUGGGAGCAAGGAUGAGGAGAGGGACCCGAUUCAUGUUGAGAAUCAAGUUAAGUCCAAUGAUGUGGCAUUUAUGUUCUACAAUCCUAUCUUGGCAGUCGAAGGAAAGGCCAACAACCUCAUCCCCUAUUACUAUGUGUGCUCAACUCAUUCUUCCGGCACACAAUUGAUCCCAAGGGUGGAGAUGCCACGUCUCUCAACUACUACACAGGAAAUCUCUUGCUUAGUAUGGCUCCCAAAAGAUGACCAUUUGGUAUAUUUGAUUUUAUAUGGAAUGAACUCCGGCGUGCCAUGACCAAUGCUAGGAAGCAUCUUCCUUAUGCACCAUACAUAAUGUACAUGACUGAGUGAGUUACAAAGGUCACCUAUCCCAAGGACUGUGCUCACAAGCCACUUCAUAUCCAUCCAAGGGAUGACAACAAGCCCAUUCCUUCCAUCACAUCUCAAAAGUCUUUGCUCUAUGUGCAAGACCAUGACUCAUGAAGUUAAUGUGAACCGGCAGGACAUUCUUGAUAUCAAGGAAGCCACAGGUUUACCUAUUGUCGAGCCCUAUCAUGAGCUUCCUGAGUUCGAUGAUUCGUUUACGGAGUGGGAUGCCAUGGAUCAGGCUGAUGUUGUUGCUGCUGCUCCUUCACCUCCACCACAUGCUGGUGGAGCUACUCGUCCUCGACGCACCGCACGCACACCAUCUCCGGAUGAGGAAGAAGAAGAGGAAGACGACGACAAGGAGGAGGAUGAGGACUAUGAUGAGGAGGAGGAGUAGAUCACUAUGCCCUUCAUUUCCUUUUUGGCACUUGAUGCCAAAGGGGGAGUAAUUUGUGGAUGAUGAAUGUAUCAAACUCAUUUAUCUUUAUCUUACAUGGUGUGUAAGACUAUGUGAGCGUGAACAUUUGUUUGGGUGUAAUCGUGCUUAGAGAUAUUUUUAAAUUAUCUAAGGUUUCCUUGUGUUAGUGUGAAAAUUUUAUGUGAUGAUUGUUUUUGGAGUUGACAGGGAUUUUUGGAGAAAUCCGGACUAAUCUCCGGAAAAUUCCGAACUUCCGGAAAUUUCCAGAGGUUGUUUCAGAAAUCUCCGGACCUCUUGUCAAAAUUUCUCUUUGUUUAUUUAUUGAAGUGUAUUCCAUGUCAUAUGCAUCACAAAUAUUUGUCACACACAUUGUUUACACCCCACUGCUGCCAAGUACAUGUGCACUCUUCAUAUUUCUCUCUUUCAUGCCAAAUGACUUAAAAGGUCAUUUUAUGAAAUUCAAAUUCAAUGGCAUACAUUAAGGGGGAGUUGCACAUGUCCUUGCUCCUUUACUCAUAUUUUGAUACAUUAUUUUCAUAUCUUGUAAGACUUAAGUGUGUUGUCAUCAAUCACCAAAAGGGGGAAAUUGAAGAGUAUCUUGGCCCCCUAAGUGGAUUUUGGUGAUUUAAUGACAAAAGCUUAAGUAACUAACAAAGUUUCAAGUGCAUCAGCAAGUUUAAAUUGAUUAUUGGUCAUGGAGCACUUAUGACAGAUCCCUCAAAAGGAAAUGAAAUGUUAAGCGGCAUCGUAUCUAGUUUAGAUUUAUGCUCGGUUUGAAUUUGAGUAUAGGAAAGCCGCACUAUUAAGAGGGAUGGGUAAUCUCUGGUCUUGAUGAUGAAAACGGUGCUCAAGAUGACCUAACAAAACCUAUGAGAGACACCAUUUGCACUUGCACAUCAUAUGGGGAUAACUAGAUGUGCUAACCAGAGAAAUUCGGAAUUUUCCGGAAGUUUUCCCAGAAUAUUUCGGAAGUGGAGAAUUUUCGAAGAGUCUCCGGAGGUCCGGAUAUUUCCGAAAGUUUUUGCGGAAAAUUCCAGAGGUCAGGAUCUUUCCGGAAGUUUUUCCGGAAAACUCCAGAAUCUCCGAGAAAGUUUUGAAAAAUUCCGGAAUCUUUGUUAUAAUGGCUAGUUCUAGAGUGAAGAGGUAUAAAUACCCCCUCACCCCCUUUCCUGCGCCCUCUCUUGCCUCUCUACUGUUCUAAGCUGCAAAAACACUUGAGAGCUCCUCUCUUACUCCUCUUUGACUUUCUUGUGAGACUUGUUGGGGAUUUGAGGAGAGAUUGGUUAGUGUUCAAGGGAUUAUGCUAGUGAGCUGCAACUCCAUCUCUUGAGCACCUUCAUUCUUCAUCAAGCCAGCGAUUCGUGUUUGUUACUCUUGGAGCUUCAAGCUCCUAGCUAGCUAGGCGUCGCCCGGAUGAGCAUCCAAGCUUGUGGCUUCCCUGGGAAAUUUGUAUUACCCCUACGAUUGAGUAAGUAACUCUAGCUUGAUCUUUGUGGUUGCUAGAGGGAGGAAAGUGGCUUGGUGAUAUAAGCCCACCCUUUGUGGGUCCUCAACGGAGACGUAGGCUUCGCGGUGUGAAGCUGAACUCUGGUAACAAAUCUUUCUGCCACUCUUGCUUAUUGUUCUUGUUUUCAUACAUAUUCUUACAUAGAACACAUAUUUAAGGUUUGUUCUUGUUGACGCCAGAUUUUGACACGUAUGGAAUCGGCGUCAAGAAAGGAAAGGAUUAGCUGAUGCGGCGAGACGAGAAGGUCACGAUUGGGAAUCGGCUGAUUGGUGCUACAGUUGGAGAUCGGCCGAUUGGCGCUGCAGUGUUUUGGCGGAUGGAGUUGGUGGAAAUAGGCCGAUUAAGAGGCUGGGGCAAUUGGGCCAAUAUGGGCUUAAAGUGGAUUACGAAGAGAAAAUAAAGGGGGAUUGGCCCACAAGAGCACGACGACCAACUCUGAUACGAGUUAUGCUUGUAAAUAUUCGUUUUUGUUUAAAAUUAGAGAUAGAGUCCUAGUCGGUUAAGAGGUUGGUUGUAACAGGCUAUAAAUAGCCAUCUUUAGAGAUCUGUAAAACAACAUCAAAUCAAUACAACAUUCUACUAUUUCCUCGUACUUUACUUUCAAGUCGGCGACUUCGCCAAUACUUUUCUUCUUUUCACGUGUUCGUACGGGUUGGCAGGGCUGCAUCGACUUGAUCUCCGGACGAUUCUGUAAGUUCCGUUUAUCGAGUAACAUCUAAGCUUUAACUUUGGGCGCAUCGCUGUCAUUUCGUUUAGAUUUAUUCACCAGUUAUCGAUAUUUACUAGAAUUCUAGGUUUUACCUUCUAUUCUAGUUUUAUCACCAGUUAUCCAGCUUGGAAUUAGAGCUUUCGGCUUAUUUAUCUUUAUCGCUUAUCUAUCACUUUCGCAUAGCCGAUUAGAUCUAUUUCAAGUGUUGCUACUGUAGCGUUGUCUAGUUUACUCUAGUAGUUUUCUUUACAAAUGUUACCUAGUGGUCAGCUGCGCUAUAGCCGAUUUCCUUAUUAUAGCAAAUCGGUCGAUUCGCUGAUAAGCUUCCUUGAGAUCGGAACCUCAGCCGAUCGCAGCCUCUAGGAUCUGACACGUUUCUUUCCUUGCCAAUCAACAGGUCAGAUUGGCUGGCACGCCGCACGAACCGCACCAGGGUGAUUACCCGAACAGGAGCUAAGCAGAUUCUCCCGGGUCGUGUGUCCAACGCUGAGAUUCAAUCAGCUGAUCUUUAGUGCCAACAGUUCUUGAUCUACUUUUCUAGCUUGCUUGGAGCUGUUCCUUCUUGCUGAAUAGUCUUAGAACAACAUGUUGAACAACCUAUUUUCAUCGAUCUGAAUUCUAACAGGUUUUUCUUAGAGCUGUAGUUGUUUUUGGAGGAAUCUGGAAUAAUCCGGAGAUUUCUCCAGAAAUUUCCAGAACAAUAUCCGGAAAUCUCUGGAAUUGUCUGAUCAGCUUGUUUUUAAGUUCAAAUUUUUCAGAUUCGACUAUUCACCCCCCCUCUAGUUGACACUCUAGAUCCUUUCAAAGGGGAAGACUCCAAUGGCCUCAGGUAGUGCCCCGGGCCCAAAGUUUUGGCUGGUUCUGAAUGCUUCACCACGAGUCCCUCAGAAAACUCCUCAGCCUGGACAUUGGGUCAUCAAGCUGCCUCAACAACAGGGAGCUCCACGUCUCCCUAACUUCCAGCAGCAGAGCCCAAGGCCCAAUGCUCAGCAGCCAGCUCGCACUAGCAAUGGGAAUCGCUAUCUCGUCUGUGGGACUCCCAAUCAUUUUGCUAAAGAAUGUCCACAGAACAGGCCCCAGAACCAAGGAAAGGGCUAAAAUCAAAACAAGGGCAAGAGCUGGAAAGUCCAGAUCAAGCAAGGGAGACUUAACUUCACCACUCUCACUGACCUCCUCGAGGGUGCGCCAGUAAUGACAGGCAUUUUCUCUAUCCAUAACCGGCCUGCGGUUAUAUUAUUUGAUUCUGGUGCAUUGCAUGGCUUUAUUGGAACAAAAUUCAAUGCUAAAUGUGGAUUGGGUUUGUGUCACACCAAAGGGUCUUACAUUAUUUCAACACCUGGUGGUAAAAUUGCUUCCGGCCAAAUAACACGUGGUGUGCCACUCAAGUUGGGUAGAAAAAUUUUCCAAACCGACCUUAUUAUCUUGGGUUUGGAAUGCAUAGAUAUAAUUUUGGGGAUGAACUGGAUGACUCAGCACCAAGUCACGCUAGACAUUCCAGCAUGGGCCAUCCAAAUAAAUUCCACACUUCACUUGCUAGCCCGAGAGUGCAUAAAUUCGUGCGCUUAUCCGGCAAUAGAGUCCCGACUGGAGGAUAUUCCCGUGGUAUGCGAGUAUGCCGAUGUUUUUUCGGAUGACAUGCUAGGAAUGCCACUGGAUAGGGACACUGAAUUUGCCAUUGAGCUACAACUAGGCACGACGCCGAUAUCAAAGAGGCCUUAUCGAAUGCCGCCUGUGGAGUUGGUAGAAUUAAAAACCCAGCUUCAAGAGCUAUUAGAGAAGGGUUUCAUUCACCCAAGCACAUCACCUUGGGGCUUCCCAGCUCUCUUUGUGAAGAAGAAGGAUGAUAGUAUGAGGAUGUGUGUAGACUACCAACCUCUCAAUGCGGUGAUUAUCAAAAAUAAGUAUCCCUUGCCCCGCAUUGAUGUUCUUUAUGAUCAACUUGGCGGAGGCAGAGUUUUCUCCAAGAUUGAUCUCCGCUCUGGUUAUCAUCAGAUAAAGAUCCAGCCAUGUGACAUUCCUAAAACCGCUUUCUCCACACGGUAUGGACUAUACGAGUUCCUAGUCAUGUCCUUCAGGCUCACAAAUGCUUUAGCCUAUUUCAUGUUUCUCAUGAAUUCGGUGUUUAUGCCCGAGCUCGACAAGUUCAUCGGGGUUUUCAUCUACGACAUCCUUGUAUAUUCCAAGAAUGAAUAAGAGCAUGUUGAACACCUUCACAAUGUUCUUCAACAUCUUAGAGAUCAUCAGCUAUAUGCCAAGUUCUCCAAGUGCGAAUUCUGGCUGGAUAGUGUAAAUUUCUUGGGCCACACUAUAUUCAGCAAAGGCAUAGCAGUUGAUCCAAGCAAAGUGCAGGAAGUGAUGGACUGGAAGCCACCCACUUCAGUUCAUCAAAUUAGAAGAUUUCUUGAUCUAGCAGGCUAUUACCAAUGAUUCAUUCCGGACUUCUCAAAGAUAGUCAAGCCAAUGACCGAAUUGCUAAAGAAAGGGGUCAAGUUUGUGUGGAGCGAAAAAUGUGAAGAAGCUUUCCACACCAUGUGAAAGUUAUUGACCUAGGCACCAGUCUUAGCCCAACCAGACAACACCAAACCAUUUGACUUCUACUGUGAUGCUUCUGGCACUAGACUCAGAUGUGUUCUUAUGCAAGCCAAUCGAGUCAUUUCCUAUGCUUCACGUGCACUACGGCCUCAUGAGUAGAAUUACCCGACACAUGACCUGGAGUUAGCAGCGGUAAUUCAUGCUCUGAAGAUAUGGAGACAUUAUUUGAUGGGUGCUCAUUGCAAUAUUACCGAUCAUAAAAGUCUCAAGUACAUCUUCACUCAAGCCGAUCUGAACAUGCGUCAAAGAAGAUGGUUGGAAUUGAUUAAGGAUUAUGAUCUAGAGGUGCAUUAUCACCCAGGAAAAGCAAAUGUGGUUGCAGAUGUUCUAAGCUGCAAGGCCCAUUGCAAUUGCCUUUUUGCAAAGAACUACAUAGAAACUUUGUGUCAUGAGAUGAGGAAGCUUAAUUUGGAAAUUAUUCCUCAAGGCACCUUGAGCCAUAUCUCUAUCAAACCUACCCUGGAUGAUCAAAUCAUUAUGGCACACCUAGGGGAUGAAGAAAUAAAGCUCAUUAAGAAAAAUCUUUCCCAAAGGGAUAAAGGAUAUAAGCAUUUCUGACAGGACUAGAAAGGAGUAAUAUGGUACGAGGACCGAUUAGUUGUUCCAGCAAAUCCCGAUCUCCGAAAGCAAAUAAUGGAUGAGGCGCACCUUUCCAAAUUCUCUAUUCACCCGGGUAGCACCAAAAUGUACCAAAACCUAAGGCAAAGUUUUUGGUGGACUGGGAUGAAACCGGAGAUUGCUAAGUAUGUUCAGAAUGUGACACUUGCCAAAGGGUAAAAGCAAGCUACUUGAAGGUAGCCAGUACUCUUCAACUGCUACCUAUACCCUCAUGGAAAUGAGAGGACAUAAGCAUGGAUUUCAUUGUUGUUUUGCCCAACACCUCUCAGAAACAUGAUUCCAUAUGGGUCAUUGUGGAUAGGCUCACUAAGACGGCACAUUUCAUCCCUGUUCAUACGACCUACUCAACCCGGAAAUAUGCCGAGCUAUAUCUUGAUCGCAUUGUUUGCCUACACGAAGUGCCUAAAACAAUCAUCUUCGAUCGAGGUGCUCAGUUUGUGGCACACUUCUGGGAACAAUUGCAGGCUGCUCUCGGCACUAAGCUAAUCCACAGCUCGACCAAUCACCCUCGGACGGAUGGGCAAAGUGAGAGGGUAAAUUAGAUUCUUGAAGACAUGCUUCGAUAUUGCAUCAUUCAUUAUGACAAGAAUUGGGACAAAUGCUUGCCUCUAGUGGAGUUUUCUUAUAACAACAGCUACCAAGCUAGCUUAAAGAUGGCACCAUUUGAGGGCUUGUAUGGUCGCAGGUGUCGAACUCCGUUUAGUUGGUCCCAGGUGGGAGAACGAAAGGUAUAUAGGCCAGACUUUGUAAUUGAGGCGAAAGAGAAAGUGAGGAUAAUAAGAGAAAACCUUAAAGCCACCCAAUCAAGGCAAAGGAGCUAUUUCGACAAGAGGAGGAAACCAUUGCAAUUCGAAGUUGGUGACCAUGUAUACCUUCGGGUUUCACUAACUAAGGGUGUGCAGAGGUUUGGAGUAAAAAGGGAAACUAGCUCCUCGCUAUAUUGGUCCAUAUGAAAUCAUGGAAAUUUGUGGACCUAUUGCCUAUCGAGUAAAACAUCCACCCAGACUCUCCACUAUCCAUGACAUUUUCCAUGUAUCUCAAUUCAAGAAAUGUGUUCGAGUUCCAACUAAGAUUAUCGAACAAGAGGAAGUAUGGGUAGAACCAGACCUUUCUUAUGAGGAGUUCCCGAUCAAAGUUAUUGAUCACAAGGAAAGGAGAACCCGGAGGCAAGUGGUGAGAAUGUUUAAAAUUCAGUGGAGCCAUCAUAUAGAGGAUGAAGCCACAUUGGAAACUGAAGAAUAUCUCAACAAAAAUUUCCAAAUUGUCUAUUCACCCGGGUAGCACCAAAAUGUACCAAGACCUGAAGCAAAAUUUUUGGUGGACUGGGAUGAUACCGGACAUUCCUAAGUAUGUGUCAGAAUGUGGCACUUGCCAAAGGGUAAAAGCAAUCCACUUGAAGGUAGCCGGUACUCUUCAACCGCUACCUAUACCCUCAUGGAAAUGGGAGGACAUAAGCAUGGAUUUCAUUGUUGGUUUGCCCAACACCUCUCAGAAACAUGAUUCCAUAUGGGUCAUUGUGGAUAGGCUCACUAAGAUGGCACAUUUCAUCCCCAUUCAUAUGACCUACUCCACUUGGAAAUAUGCCGAGCUAUAUCUUGAUCGCAUUGUUUGCCUACACGGAGUGCCUAAAACAAUCAUCUCCGAUCGAGGUGCUCAAUUUGUGGCACAUUUCUAGGAACAAUUGUAGACUGCUCUCGGCACUAAGCUAAUCCGCAGCUCGACCUAUCACCCACGGACAGAUGGGCAAAGUGAGAGGGUAUAUCAAAUUCUUGAAGACAUGCUUCAAGCUUUUCAUUCAUUAUGACAAGAAUUGGGACAAAUGCUUGCCUCUAGUGGAGUUUUCUUAUAACAACAGCUACCAAGCUAGCUAAAAGAUGGCACCAUUUGAGGCCUUCUAUGGUCCCAGGUGUCGAACACUUUUGAGUUGGUCCCAGGCGGGAGAACAAAAGGUAUAUGUGCCAGAUUUCGUAAUUGAGGCGGAAGAGAAAGUGAGGAUAAUAAGAGAAAACCUUAAAGCCACCCAAUCAAGGCAAAAGAGCUAUUUCUACAAGAGGAGGAAACCAUUGCAAUUUGAAGUUGGUGACCAUGUAUACCUUCGGGUUUCACUAACCAAGGGUGUGCAGAGGUUUGGAGUAGAAAUGGAAACUAGUUCCUCACUAUAUUGGUCCAUAUGAAAUCACGGAAAUUUGUGGACCUGUUGCCUAUCGAGUAAAACUUCCACCCAGACUCUCCGCUAUCCAUGACAUUUUCCAUGUAUCUCAAUUCAAGAAAUGUGUUCGAGUUCCAACUAAGAUUAUUGAACAAGAGGAAGUAUGGCUAGAACCGGACCUUUCCUAUGAGGAGUUCCUGAUCAAAGUUCUUGAUCGCAAGGAAAGGAGAACCCAGAGGCAACUCAUGAGAAUGUUUAAAAUUCAGUGGAGCCAUCAUAUAGAGGAUGAAGCCACAUUGGAAACUGAAGAAUAUCUCAACAAAAAUUUCCAAGUUCUCUAUUCACCUGGGUAGCACCAAAAUGUACCAAGACCUAAAGCAAAAUUUUUGGUGGACUGGGAUGAAACUGGAGAUUGCUAAGUAUGUGUCAGAAUGCGACACUUGCCAAAGGGUAAAAGCAAGCCACUUGAAGGUAGCUGGUACUCUUCAACGGCUACAUGUACCCUCAUGGAAAUGGGAGGACAUAAGCAUCAAUUUCAUUGUUGGUUUGCCCAACACCUCUCAGAAACAUGAUUCCAUAUGGGUCAUUGUGGAUAGGCUCACUAAGAUAGCACAUUUCAUCCCUGUUCAUACGACCUACUCAACCCGGAAAUAUGUUGAGGUACAUCUUAAUCGCAUUGUUUGCCUACACGGAGUGCCUAAAACAAUCAUCUCUGAUCGAGGUGCUUAGUUUGUGGCACGUUUUUAGGAACAAUUGUAGGAUGCUCUCGGCACUAAGUUAAUCCGCAGAUCGACCUAUCACCCUUGGACGGAUGGGCAAAGUGAGAGGGUAAAUCAGAUUCUUGAAGACAUGCUUUGAGCUUGCGUCAUUCAUUAUGACUAGAAUUGGGACAAAUGCUUGCCUCUAGUGGAGUUUUCUUAUAACAACAGCUACCAAGCUAGCUUAAAGAUGGCACCAUUUGAGGCCUUGUAUGGUCGCAGGUGUCGAACUCCGUUGAGUUGGUCCAAGGUGGAAGAACGAAAGGUAUAUCGGCCAGAUUUGGUAAUUGAGGUGGAAGAGAAAGUGAGGAUAAUAAGAGAAAACCUUAAAGCGCCCAAUCAAGGCAGAAGAGCUAUUUCGACAAGAGGUGGAAACCAUUGCAACUCGAAGUUGGUGACCAUGUAUACCUUCGGGUUUCACUAACCAAUUGUGUGCAGAGAUUUGGAGUAAAAAGGGAAACUUGCUCCUCGCUAUAUUGGUCCAUAUGAAAUCACAAAAGUUUGUGGACCUGUUGCCUAUCGAGUAAAACUUCCACUCAGACUCUCCGCUAUCCAUGACAUUUUCCAUGUAUCUCAAUUCAAGAAAUGUGUUCGAGUUCCAACUGAGAUUAUCGAACAAGAGGAAGUAUGGGUAGAAACGGACCUUUCCUAUGAGGAGUUCCGUAUCAAAGUUCUUGAUCGCAAGGAAAGGAGAACCCGGAGGCAAGUGGUGAGAAUGUUUAAAAUUCAGUGGAGCCAUCAUAUAGAGGAUGAAGCCACAUGGGAAACUGAAGAAUAUCUCAACAAAAAUUUCCACGGUUUCUUUUUCGAUCAGGGAGGUACAUGCACAGCCACACUAGUCUUUCAUCACCUGAAUCUUGGGACGAGAUUCUUUUAAGGGGGGUAGGCUGUAACAUCCCUAGUGUUAGCAAAGCAGAUCAAGAAUGAUUAGGGUGUUUGAACAUACAAACCAACACUUAAACUUCAGAUUUGCCUUUUUACCAUUCCAAAUGCACUAAACUUUUGAAAAAUACCUCUAAAGGGCAAAGUGAAGUAAUAAGGGGCCAAACAAGGAACCAAAUGUGAAAACAAGCAAAUUUAGGUUGAAAGGUAGAGAAACAUCCCAAAGUUCAAAUCCCAACCCUUGGUAGCUUUUCAAAUUCACUAAGGGUCUAAAUUGUAACAUCCCUAGUUUUGGUUUAGUCCUUAAAGAGUCUAAUUGGAGUGUUUAAGGAUCAAUUAGCAUCUAAGUUUCAAACUUAUUAUUGUUUGAGCACGAUCACACUUACACACUCAAAGAAAUGUCACAUUAGGGCCUAAAUUGAUCAGAUAAAGUCAAACCCAAAGACUAAGUGGUAGAAAUACUCGCACUAGGUUUUUUUUGUGAUAAAAAUGCCAAAAACCCCGAAGGACCCGGUUGAAAUCUAAUCAAGAACUUGAAUGGACCAAAAUACCCUUAAAAGGCUUAAUUUGGGGGCAAUUCAUAAAUUCAGAUUUUAUUUAAUAACUCAAAGUUUUGCCAAUACAAAAGUUGUAGAACUUCUCAAAACACACAACUUUUCUUAUUUGAGAUUUCGCUAGUUUGCAGUGGAACCCUUUCAAAAAUUGAGCCAAAGAUCAGCUCAAUUUCAAACUCAAUACAAAUUUCUCUGAGUCCUGGAAAACAGCUGUUUCUUCCAUACUUUGUCUGUGUUUAUCUUCAAUUCUAAAAUAGUUUCGAACCUGAACCCUUUCUAAGAGGUGUAUUCUGAAGUAUGGACAACAACUUCUACAUUUGGAAUUUCUCAACUUUAGUUUGAACUUUUGGAGAAAAUUCAGUUUGAAGUUUGGCAAAAUCCACAAAAACUGGUUAAAACGCUAAGUCCCUAAACCUCCGUUCCUGAGAAAUUUAGCUUGUUUUAACUUCAAAUUUAAAACAGAUUUGAACCCAUUGUAUUUCUAGAGUUUGUAGUUUGGAGUGUUAGUUUAAAACUUUUUCAAGUUUGAUUUCGAAAAUCCCCGCAAAACCAGCUCAAACAUCACCCCCUCACGCGCCACGGCGUUCCCGUGCGCCACCGUGUACACGGUCACUGCUUCUACCCGUCGCGCCAUGCCACAUGUGCCCUUAGUGUUCAUGCAGCGCUGGUGGCCAACCGUCGCAGAUGACUUGACAAGAUGAUGCCCCGAGCUGACCAAUGGUUCGCCGAUGCCAUCCCUCCCCUCCGCACCGCAUCUUGGCCACCCAGUAUCUGUGCCACCUCUCGCUGUUGCACGUGCAUGCCACCACCAAGUCUCACCACCUGUCCAACCGCCGCCCUUGAGGCAACCACACGAGCCCAUCAACCGGCCUAGCCUCGUGCCCGACCAAAGCCAUCCGCAGCUCUCCCAAAUCCCGCUCCGCCUAUCACCGGAGAUCCUUGCGAGAUCCGCACGCCACUGCCUAAUGCUCGCCGCCACGGCCCGCCGGCCAAUGCCGCACCUCGCGGUAGCUCUCCAAUGCCCACCCGGCCUUAUCCCUUCAUCUAGAGCUUCGCCUUACACCCCCUCGCCCCCGGCCUAUAUAAGCAGUUAACACGCUCGCCGGAGCCACCUCACACCGCCGCCCCUCGCUGACAGAGCUCCACCGCGACCUCACCAUGGAACUCCUCCCUCCUGAACCUCCCCGCCGCGUGCUGAGCUACCCAAAGCGCCAUGUGCACCACCCCAAAGCUCCCCAAGCCGCCGCCAAGCAAGCCCCGGCAGCCACCUUGCCGGAGCAAGGACCCGCUGCCAUGGUUUUCAUCCCCACCAUGAACCGCCGCCGCCGGUCGUCCUCUGCCGCCAAUCCCCACAACACAAGUCUACCUGGUGAGCCACAUGACACGCCCGACCCUUUUCCUCCCCCUAUUGCGUAGCCGCUCGCCGGCAAUCGGCCGGAGUUGCCACCGGCGAAGGAGAGGACCACAUUGCGAGACUAGUUUAGUUUCUAGGGUCUUUAGUGGUAAGUGUAGGGACCCAUCCGUAAUAGUUCAAAACCUCAAGGGACCCCCGUGUAAAACAUUUUAUCCUUUAUCUGUUUUAUUUUGGUUUAAAUCGGCUGAAAUUUUGAAAAUGCAUAAGAAAGUGUAGAAAAAUGGGAAAAAUGCAAACCAACUUUGUUAGAAUCUGUGUGUGAUCAGUAGUUUCACUAAACAAUAAUUUUGAGCAUGUCACUGUUGUAGUUUUAUCUCUAGAUUUUAUUCUGUGUUCAAGCCAAUAAAUGCUCCAUAAAUCACACAAAAAUGAUAAAAAGAUAAAUCCACCUCUGUUAGUUUCUUGUGUCAUGCUUGUUCUAGAUAUGAAUUUUGUGACACUAGUCUACCUGAUAAACACACUAAUUUAAGUCACAUAUUGAAAUCCUAGGUUUGAUCUUGCUUUUUGCUUUAUAAAUGGAAGAAAAUAGAUAAAAAUGUGAAACCACUUUUGUUGAGUUCGUGACACAAGUACUUGCCUAUGAAAAAUAUUAGUCUCUGUUGAAACGUGAUUGAUCUUGCUUGUGCACAUGGUUUAAUAAAAGUAAAAUAUGGCAUAUAGAUGUCCUUCUUAUUAAAUCAUGGAAAAACUACAGUAACCUAUGAUUGAACAUAGAGAACCCACUGUAAAAAUUUUGGAGCGAAACUACCACUGAAACUUGAGUUAAGAAUAGUACAUGAAAUCUACCUUAGGAUGUUGUUUUAUUUUUGAUGAUUUUUGUAGAAAUCAAAUGAGUCUUUAAAUUUUCCAGUACCUCAGUCAUGAUAGUGAUAAGUCUCUAUAAAAUUUUCAUCCCCAUAGCUGAUCAUAUGCAACUUAAAUAAAUUAUGGAAGUUAAACCAAGAAAAAGGAAUGAAAACAAAGUAGUUAAUGAGAAGGGUAAAAUGGUAAAUACACACUGAGGUACAGAAAAACAUUCAGAAAUAGGGUAACUUUCCAAAUGAACCUUAAGCAACUCUAGAGUGACCCCACCUUUCUUUUGUGAAGUUUAAGUUGUAAAACCUUAUAUGUGCACACAAUCACCAUCAAAGUCAUCCCUGGGUUUUAUAUCACAACACACCUUACUUCAUGAAGAUAAUGAAAGUUUAGAACCUUGUCUAGGAGAAUGUGGUCAAAAUGCAAUUUACACUUCAGCAAUAAUUCAUGAAUUGCAUCCUGCAUGUGAAACCAUGGAAACUUGAACUAUUGCAUAUGCAUCUCGUGUAGAAGCGAAUCUCACAUACGAGACGUACAAACUGCUCCCAACGACCGAGGAAGUACCUACCGAGCUACAUCAUGUUGAGGCCGAGCAGGAGAUCAGCGAAGCAUCCAACAAGCUCCCUACUAACUUAGAACAGGAAGGCAAGCCCCGGAGCAUAACCCAAUUUUCUAAAUUCAUGCAAUGUCUAUGAUACCUAUGCUUGUGCAUUUACGUUCAUAGGAGUUCAUUGAAAACCUAGUUGCAUGAUCUUAGGUACCUUUGGUUGAACACUAGUAUGGUAGGCCGAGUAGCUGCAAUGCUAAAUAGGACUCAGUAAAAGUUGAGUGAUUUCCUGUCACUCGCGAGUUUAUAGGAGUUGAUUGCUUACUCAUAUUAUAACCAUAAGGAUGACGACAGGACCGUGAGUGAUUCUGACUUGGUGGUUUUGUCGCGUCUGUCUAGUGAUGAAAAUGCUAAGGCCGAAAUGUGUCGGUGUUCGCAGUCAAGUGUUUGAAAGUACUAAUCUCAUACCUAGUAUGAGAUAGGGAAGCCUAGUACCUGAUUGAAUCGGGGCGUAGCUUUAUCCCUACUAUCUCUGGAAUGGAGUUUCCCCCGGUGCAUCAUGUGGGUACAAAUGCAGUCACGGUACGGCGACGUUCCAAGGGAAGUAGGCCCUAUCCAUGUGCUUGGGGAUUGAUGGGGAUGGCUAACAUGUGUGGACCCAUCGUGGUACGCAAUGUCGUGGGAUUAGGUUCACCUUGCAAGGUUAAGAAACUCGAUUUGAAUCGUCUACCUCUCAUAGUUUGAGACUGCUUGACUACUGUGCUGCACUGAGUAACAAGUGAAACAUAGAAUGAUUACUUAAUGAUGAUGAUGCCCUGAAUAAAAUGUUUGCUCAACUUGCUUAGAACAAGUUGCAUACCUAGUAAGAUUAAUCUUCUAGAAUCGGCUGCUAAAAAUUGAAAGUAAGGACCUACUUAGAUACUUUUGGCAAAAACAAACCCCUCAGCCAAAAAGCCUUGCAUGUCUAGUAGUUGGUGGAGUAGUUACCACCUGAUGGGUAAGCCUUGUUGAGUAUUAGUAUACUCAGCCUUGCUUGUGGCUAUGUUUUCAGGUAGUGCAGAUUUUGUGGAAAUGGUUGCCAGUUUGACUUGGCCAACCCAACUCCCUCCAGGUUGGACGGUUGAGUGGAACUCGUCCUUGGACAGCGACAAGCGUGGUGAUUGAUAUCAUGGUCGGCUUCGCCAUGGUAUUUUGUAUCGACAUUAGUUGCAUCAUGUCUUUUCCGCAGCUUAAACUCUAAGAAACUUUACUUUCUGCACUUUUGAACUACUGUGAUGUAAUAAAUAAAGUGGGACCUAUGUAUUAAACUACUGGAAUGUUGUAAUCACUGGACUCACCUUCGUGUGAGCAUGCUUUGUUUCGAUGCGAGACAAGUGGUUUAUCGGGUGAAACCUGACAGACUACCAGAUUGACUUGAUUAAGGUGUUGGUUCACAAGUGAGGCAAAGUUGAGCACACUUUAGUUAGGUUAAUUUGGGUGGUUCUGCCACAUAAAUGUCCUAAAAAGCACUAAAAAGGGGUAGAAGUUAAAAAUGAAAUUUUAUAUAAGAACUUAACUUUUGGCCAAUAGGAAAGUUGUAGAACUUUUGAAAACAAACAACUUUUGUUAUUUGCACUUCUACUGAUUUUGAGAGGAAGGCAUUCAAAUUUCAAAUCAAAAUUCAGCAAUUUUGGGGAAAAGAUCAAACAAGGCCAUGUCUGGCUUUCCACCAAUGUUUGCACCAAGUUAUCUCCAACUCUUGCCAGACUUUGCACCAUGGGCUUUUGUAAAAGUUGUGGGGUAUAGUUUGGCAGAAACUUUUACAUUUGGAGAUUUUGAAGUUUGAAUUCAAAUUUUGGAGAAACUUUGCCCAGAACCGGCAGCCCUCGCACACCAGUGCAUCAUGCACGUGCCCCCACAAUACGGUGAUCACGCAUGGCACGUUCCAGUGUGCCACUUCGUGAUGUCCCGUUCGCGCAAAGCCACCGGCCAACCAUCGCCGGCGAUGGGAUCCGAUGGGCUCACCGAUUGCCCAGUCACCAGCCAGCGCCAUGUCCCCUCACUCUUGGCAGGAUCUUCUCCGGCCACUCCUCGCGCAGCGCCCGCGAGCACCUCUGCCCACGCUCGUGCCCGAACACCACGUCGCCGCCCGCCCUUGGCUCUGCUGCCUGGACACUCGACGCCGGUGAGGCAACAACACGGGAGAGCCCUUCUAGGCAGUCCUUGCAUGCGUUAGAGAGGAUUCCCGCAGCGCCAAAUCCUACACGGCCACUCCUCACCGCUCGCCCACGCUACCGUGACCAACCGCCGCGCGCCCAGCUUUCCUCCGCCAGUCGCUGGCUGCCUCCACGCACCCCCGAUGGACCCUAGCCGCGCUGAUACCCCCUAGCCCCUCCUCGCACCCUCCAGCACCUAUAAAAGGCACCCUUGCCCUCACCAGUGCUUCCCCACCAUUUUUCCCCUCUACUAGAAAAUCCGCCGCGCCGCUAGUAGCGCCGCCGCGGAGCCAUGCCCUCCGGCCCUUCCCAAAGCUCCUAAGCCACCCAAUGUUUCACGCGUAUGCCACCUGAGCUUCCAGAGCCACCCCUCAACCCCCACUAACGCCGGAGAAGAACUCCCUCCACCGCGCCCGAAGCCUCGCCAUGGACCGCUGCUGCCAAGCCUCCUCUGCCCGCGUUUCCUUCAGCGCAUCGACUCGCCAUGAGCUCCGGAACACGCCCGUGCCCUUUCCCUACCCCCUCACCAGCACCGCUCGCCAGAUUUUGGCCGAAGAUGCCGCCGGCCAAGCCAAGGGCUACAUUGCAAGCCCCCUUUUUAAUUUUAGGGUCUAACCCGUAAAAUGGCAGCACUAGUCUGUGAAAGUUUAAAAGUUUCAGGGACCCCUCUAUAAAAUGCUUUUUCCUUUUCUGUUUUAAAAUAGGUUAGAAAGGAUGAAACUUUGAAAACUUGUAGGAAAUUGUAGAAAAAUAGUAAAAAUGUGAAGUCAAUUUUGUUAGACUCCACAUGAUGUCUAGUUUCACUUAAAAAUAUUCAUGAGCAUGUCACUAUCAUGUUUUUAGCUAUAGGAUUUAUUUUGUGCAAAAGCCAAUAAAUGUCUUUUAAAUCAUAGAAAAUUGAUAAAAAUUGGAAACCACUUCUGUUAGUUUACUCUUGGCAUGCUUGUUCUAGAUAUGUAAUUUAUGCUACUGGUUCAAAUGAUGAUCUUACUGUUUUGAGUCCAAAUGCUUAAAUGCUAUGUUAUGUUGGUUGAAAUUUCAGAAACAGGAUAACUUUCCAAAUGAAUAUUGAGUAGCACCAAAAUGAACCCACCUUUCUUUUAUGAAUUCUAAGUUAUUCAAACCUUAUAUGUGUACACAAUCACCAUCAAAGUCAAGCUCAAGUUUUAAAUUGCAACACACUUUACCUUUAUGACAAAAGAAAAGUUCGAAAUCUUGUCUAGGUGAAUGUGGUCGCAAUGCAAAGAUAUACUUCUGUAAUGAUUAAGAUAUACUUCUGUAAUGAUUCAUAAAAUGCAACCUGCACAUAAAAGCAUGUAAUUCAAAUCUUACAUAUGCAUCUCAUGUAGAAGCAAAUCUCGCCGACGGUACCUACGAGCUGAUCCCGGAAGCUGAGGAAGAGACGUCAGUUGAGGUGAACCACAUCAAGGUCAUACAAGACCCAAGUCAAGCUUCGAGUGAGCCCCAAACUAACAUAGCAUACGAAGGCAAGCCCUGGAGCAUAACAUUGGUUUCCAAAUUAUGCAAUACUUAUGUUACUUAUGUUUGUGCAUUAAGUUUAUAAGCGUUGCUUGAAACCUUAGUUGCAUGAUCCAAGGUGCCUUGAUCUGAAUACUAGUAAGAGUUGAGUGAUUUCCUAUCACUCGUGAGCUAUAGGAGUUGCCUAUUUACUUAUGUUGGAAUCAUAAGGCUGAUGGGCGGGGCUGGGCAAUAUUCUAGAAUGGUGGAUGCCCCGCCUGUAUAGAGGAGAAAUGUGCUAAGGUCGAACCGUGUCGGUGUUCAUGGUCAAGUGUUUGAAAGUACUAAGCACAUACUGAGUAUGGGAUUGGGAAGCCUAGUACCUGAUUGAACCGGCGUGGACCUUUUCCCCACUCUCUCUAGAACUGCGUUUCCUUGGUGCACCAUGUCAAGUCAAGCGGAGUAUUAGUAUACUCAGCCUUGCUUGUGGGUAUGUUUUUCAGGUAUUGUUGUUGAUGACUUGGUUGCCAGUGUGACUUGGCCGUCCAAGAUCCCUCCGGGAUGGACGGUUGAGUUGGACCCGUCCUCGAUCAGCAAGGAUCAUGGUGAUUGAUAUCAUGGAAGGCUUCACCAUGGUAUUUUGUAUCGAUGUUAGACUAUCGUUUAUUUCCACUACUUUUGAACUAUGAAUGCUACUUUAUGCAUUUGAACUCUUGAGUUGUAAUAACUUAAUUUGGGACAUGUAAUAAUUUCUCUAGAUUGUUGAAAUCUCUGGACUCAUCUUCAUGCGAGUAUGCUUUGUUUCGAUCCGAGACAUGUGGUUUAUCGAGUGAAACCUGACAGACUUCCAUUUUAAUUCGAUUAAAGUGUCCAUUCGUGUAUGAGGCAACAUUGAGUACACUUCAGCCGAGUUAACUUGGGUGGUUCUGCCACAAGGCCAAAUUUGAUAAACAAUUUUCUGUUAAUGAAGUUAAUGCAUCUACUUCUAAUAUCAAAAAUGUUAAAGAUAGUACACUAGAGAAUCCAUCAGAUUUGCAUAUACCUAAAAUUCCCAUUGGUGCGUCACCAAUAAACCACAUACAUAGCUGGACUACCAUUGGUAAUUUGGCUGGUGGAGGGAAUGCAACGGCCGCUACGAAUGCUAUGGUGCUGCAUACAGUUGUGUAUAGCAAGCGCCCUGUUGGUUCACAUGCUCCCUUGCCUAAUGCUAAUAGUUUGUUGUAGCAUGUUUCUAACACAUUGCCGAACCAAGCACAAACAUAUAGCACACCGCAACCUACUUUAACUCAAGCACAAUAUCCUGGAACGACUGGUAAUCCUAAAGCUGCUUAUGGGAUGGAAGGAUUUAGAGAAGAGUUGCUUGAGUUGUUUAAACAAACUUUUGGUACUUUAGUUAUGAGUAUAUUUCAUACCCACCAGGAUUUAAAAUACCAGAGUUUGCUAAAUUCAAUGGUGGUGACGAUGGAAGUACAUUAGAACAUAUAGGUCAAUUUAUUAUAUAAUGUGUUUAAGCUAGUUCUAAUGAUAUUUGUAAGAUGAAGCUAUUUCCUUUAUCUCUAUCGGGUGCUGCAUUUACUUGGUUUAUUUAUUUGCCACACAACUUAGUUCACACAAGUGCUGAUAUAGAGAAUAAAUUUCAUGAUUAUUUCUUUAUUGGUGAAACUGAGUUAAAAUUGUCACACCUUACAUUGGUUAAGCAAAGAACCAAUGAAUCUGUUUCUAAGUAUAUUAGAAGAUUUAGAUACACUAGAAACCAAUGCUAUAGUUUGAUGAUUUCUGAUAGGGAUCUAGCUGAUCUUGCUUAUGCUGGUUUACUUGAUAUUCAUAAAGAGAAGCUAGAUGGUUAGGAAUUCCUAGAUGUUAGUUGGUUAUUGCAAAAACCUCUAGCUAAUGAAAACCGACUUAAAGAAACUAGGAAUUUACAAAAACCCAAUGAAAAGUCUAGUUGUCGUGUUUAUGCACUUAAUUGUGAAUCUUGUAUUGGUGUUUAGAACUGGCAACCUACUGAGGGUGUACCCGAGGUAGUGUUUUAUGCUUGGGGCUUGCCGAGAUCAAGAACUCAAUAGUGAACUCGAACACACGAUUUAGACAAGUUCGGGCUGCUUAUGUCAUGUAAUACCCUACGUCUUGUAUGUUGGUUGGAUUGUAUUGAUUGAAGUUGUUUGGAGGGGGGUCCCUGCCUCGCCUUAUAUUGCAGGGGACAAGGUUACAGGUCCGUUGUUUACAUGAAUACUAGUCGGAUUCGACUAGAGAGUCCUACUCUAAUUGCUAUGAGUAGUUUUCUAAUCUUCGACUAGUUCUUGUCCUCCACAUAGACCACGCUGUCCUGCACCAUAGUCUCCAUGUCUGACACAUCUCGGUGUACAGCCCCGUAUUGUAGGACUAUUCAAAACUUCUAGUGGGCCCAUAGAUGUAUGGCUGACAAGCCCCCGAAUACUUUUUAGUCAAAUGUAGCAGUCCCGAGUAGUUUUGUAGGCUUCUCCGACUAGUUAGUGGUACUCUUCGAGUACUCCAUGGAUCUCAAUCUUCAAACACACUUGAGUACUGCCAUGUGGCAAGAAUUUGCUCAAGUCUCAUUUAACUUGGCCUUGAAUCUUCAAUCUUGAAUUUUAUAUGGAAGUGCGAUGAAAAUCGCAUUCCAUAUGGAGUAGACCCCCGAGCCUUAUAUUGAAUCGAAGAAUCAGGUUGAGGGUCAAUCUUCUAAUUUCACAUUCCUUUUACCUUAAAACCCAAAGAAAAAACUUUUUAGCCGAUAGGCACAUGGCACACAGCCCCCAAGCCGUUACACGACUAGUUUGGGUAUAAGGGUCAACCACUGGUCAACGUGACUGUUCGCCAACAGUAACCUUAUCUCUUCCAAACAAAUUGGCUACUGUCAAGCGAUAACUGUGGGUGUUUAAAAAUAGAAUAUUCCCGUUAAUCUUGCCUCUGUUUUAACUAUUCCUCAGUUAUAAAUAAUGGAGGAAUUCAUCCCUUCCAUUUCACCUGAGCCAUUCUACCUGUUCAUUUUCCACACUGUAGCCCUAGCACCACCGCUUGCGAUCCUUGAGCUUGAGUUGAUAGAGUCGGAGUGCCCGAUCUUUCGGUGAGUGGAGAUAAAUUCGACUUGGUGGAAGUAGACCCUCACGAUCCGACUACGACGAGCGAACCCGAAGCGCCAAUGCAAUCGCUGAACCAACUCCCGAUGGUUACCAACCUCGCCGGUGCGAGAUCAGCCUGAUCACGAAGAUCGAUUCCUGUCCGCAAUCGAAGAACGAACAAGAAAGAGAGGCGAGCAAUCUAAAUAUCACUCGAAGGUGGAGUUCUGAAUCACAAGGACAGCGCGUAUUUGCGCGUGUUCAAGAGUAGCUAAAGCUAGAUGUAAAACAAAACUCAAGUCGUAAACAAAAAGGACUCGGACUAAAUAAAGGGGGCGCAGCCCCUGGAGUCCGAAGGGGUCACGGCGCCCAACCCUAGGCGCCCCACCUGGGCUGCCCUGUUGGGCCAUCUUCUUAUUCCGAUGGGCCUUCGUUCCUUAACAGCAUGAUGAAGUUUAAUUCUCUCGCACGGGCUCGAGUGAUUGGCCCAACUGGAUGAGCAACUGUAGGCGCCUGAGGUGGAGGAGCAACUGGAGGCGCCUGAGGUGCUGCUGGUGUAGAUGUACUCGUGGUGUCCUCAUCAUCCUCCCCUUCUUGAACUGAAGUCGUCCUCGACGGCAACUCCUCAUCUUCACCCACAUACGGUUUCAAAUCUGCAACAUUAAAACUCGUGGAAACACCAAACUCCGCAGGCAGGUCAAGGAUAUAAGCAUUAUCAUUAAUCUUGGUUAGCACUUUAAAAGGACCAGCAGCACGUGGCAUCAAUUUAGAACGACGUAAGGUAGGAAAACGAUCCUUCCUCAAAUGCAACCAAACCAGAUCACCCGGUGCAAAAGUAACAUGUUUUCUCCCUUUACUACCCGCAACCUGAUAUUUAGCAUUAGCAGCAGCAAUGUUUUGUUGAGUCUGCUCAUGCAAGGUAAUCAUUUGAUCAACAUGGGCAGCGGCAUCUAUGUGUGGGGUGUCCUCGGCAUCAAGUGCAAACAAAUCAAUAGGCGCCCGAGGAAUAUAACCAUAAACAACUUGAAAAGGACACAUCUUUGUAGAAGAAUGCGUUGCAUGAUUAUAAGCAAACUCAACAUGAGGCAAGCAAUCUUCCCAACGUUUCAAGUGUUUAUCUAAAACAGCCCUAAGCAUGGUGGACAAGGUUCGAUUAACCACCUCAGUUUGUCCAUCAGUCUGAGGGUGACAAGUGGUGCUAAACAGCAAUUUAGUUCCCAUUUUAUUCCAUAGUGAUCUCCAAAAAUGACUGAGAAACUUAGCAUCACGAUCAGAGACUAUUGUAUUUGGAAUACCAUGCAAACGAAUAAUCUCGCGAAAGAACAAUUCAGCAACAUUGCUAGCAUCAUCAGUCUUAUGACAAGGUAUAAAAUGAGCCAUUUUGGAGAAACGAUCAACAACCACAAAAAUACUGUCCCUCCCCUUCUUAGUUCUAGGCAAUCCCAAAACAAAGUCCAUAGAAAUAUCAAGCCAAGGGGAAGUAGGAACAGGCAAAGGCAUGUACAAACCAUGGUUGUUUAAUCGUGACUUAGCUUUCUGGCAAGUAGUGCAGCGGGCAACAAGGCGCUCAACAUCAGCGCGCAUCCGGGGCCAAAAGAAGUGGGCAGCCAGCACUUCAUGCGUCUUGAAGACGCCAAAGUGCCCCAUGAGACCGCCUCCAUGCGCUUCCUGUAACAACAAACGACGAACCGAGCUAGCUGGAACACACAGCUUGUUAGCGCGAAACAGGAACCCGUCCUGUAUGUGAAAUUUGCCCCAUGGUUUGCCAUGAAUACAGUGGGCGAAAGCAUCUUUAAAAUCAGCAUCAUCCACAUAUUGAUCCUUCACAGUUUGCAAGCCAAAGAUUUUAAAAUCUAACUGUGACAGCAUGGUAUAGCGACGAGACAAAGCAUCAGCAAUGACAUUUUCCUUCCCGCUCUUGUGUUUAAUAAUGUAAGGGAAAGACUCAAUGAAUUCUACCCAUUUAGCAUGACGACGGUUCAGGUUUGUUUGGGUACGAAUAUGUUUUAAAGCCUCAUGAUCAGAAUGAAUUAUAAACUCGCGAUGCCAAAGGUAGUGCUGCCAAGUAUGCAAAGUGCGCACUAAAGCAUAAAGCUCCUUAUCAUAAGUAGAAUAAUUCAAGCUAGCACCACUUAAUUUCUCACUAAAGUAAGCAACCGGUUUUCCUUCUUGUAACAAAACAGCACCUAGCCCAAUACCGCUAGCAUCGCAUUCAAGCUCAAACACUUUAGUAAAAUCAGGCAACUGCAAGAGAGGAGCAUUGGUUAACUUAUCUUUCAAGGUGCUGAACGCAACCUCUUGCGAAUCACUCCAAGCAAAGGGAACAUCCUUCUUUGUAAGCUCAUGUAGAGGCGCUGCAAUGGAGCUAAAAUCACGAACAAACCGGCGGUAGAAACCUGCGAGGCCAAGAAAGCUUCGAAUUUGUGUGACCGUUGUCGGUGUAGGCCACUCCCGAAUGGCAUCAAUCUUGCUGCUAUCCACCUCAAUGCCCUGUGGAGUAACAACAUAGCCAAGAAACGAGACACGUUGUGUGCAAAACAUGCAUUUUUCGAGGUUAGCAAAUAAAUGGGCCGCACGCAAUGCAUCAAAAACAGCACGCAAAUGUUCUAAAUGCUCUUCCAUAGACUUGCUGUAAAUGAGGAUAUCAUCAAAAUAGACAACUACAAACAAUCCUAUGAAGGGCCUCAGAACUUCAUUCAUCAAACGCAUAAAUGUGCUGGGAGCAUUUGUCAAACCAAACGGCAUAACCAACCAUUCAUAUAACCCAAAUUUUGUUUUAAAAGCCGUUUUCCAUUCAUCACCUAAUUUCAUGCGAAUCUGAUGGUAGCCACUACGCAAAUCAAUCUUAGUGAAAAUAAUGGCACCACUAAGCUCAUCUAGCAUAUCAUCAAGGCGUGGUAUAGGGUAUCGGUAGCGAAUGGUAAUGUUAUUAAUAGCACGACAGUCUACACACAUACGCCAUGAGCCAUCUUUCUUUGGAACAAGUAACACAGGAACGGAGCAAGGGCUAAGAGACUCACGAAUAUAACCCUUGUCAAGCAACGCCUGUACCUGGCGCUGGAUUUCCUUCGUCUCAUCCGGAUUUGUACGGUACGGUGCACGGUUCGGAAGCUGUGCGCCGGGAAUGAGGUCGAUCUGGUGCUCAAUGCCACGAAGUGGUGGAAGUCCCGGUGGCAAAUCUUUUGGAAAGACAUCAGCGUACUCCUGCAAAAUGUUAGCAACCGCAGGGGGAAUAUCCAAAGAUGGUGCAUCAUCAAGUGAAACGAGCACACUAGAGCAUAUAAGGGCAUAGCAUGGCAAAGGAGCAUCGCGUAACUCAUCAAAAUCAGCACGUGUGGCAAGCAAAACAGGAGCAUUCAACUUGAUUUCAGAAUUAAUAGAUGUCGAUGGUUCAAGUUGUUUAGCAGUUUUCGCAGCUCUAGCAAGAUCAUCUUUAAGAAUUUGUUCAGGUGUCAUGGGAUGUAUAAUUAUUUUCUGACCCUUAAACAUGAAAGAAUAGUGAUUUGAACGACCAUGAUGCAAGCUAUCAGUAUCAUAUUGCCAAGGUCGCCCAAGUAACAGAGAGCAUGCUUCCAUGGGAAUAACAUCACAAUCAACAAAAUCAGAAUAAGCACCCAUGGAGAAAGGAACACGGACUGAUCGAGUAAUUCUAAUUUUCCCACCAUCAUUAAGCCAUUGAAUGUGAUAUGGAUGUGGAUGCUUACGAGUGGGUAAAGACAACUUUUCAACCAGCGUGGUACUCGCCAAAUUGUUGCAGCUGCCGCUGUCGAUGAUGAUGCGAAUCGACCGCUCCUGCACAACGCCCUUGGUAUGGAAAAGAGUGUGUCGCUGAUUCUUCUCGGACGGGGCGACCUGUGUACUAAGAACACGCUGCACAACAAGACUUUCAUACCUAUCGGCGUCGCCCGGGUUGACAUGUACCUCCAUAGCUGCAUGGUCAGUGGCAAGCAUCGCAUGUCGAGUAUCUUCAGAAUCACUAGCGGAAGAGUACUCACCAUCGUCACGAAGAAGCAAAGUGCGCUUGUUCGGACAGUCCCGAAUCACAUGGCCAAAUCCUUUGCAACGAUGACACUGAAUAUCCCGUGUACGGCCUGUGGGAGGGGCGGCGCCUGUGGAAGGGGCAGCGCUUGCAGGUUUGGCCGUUCGCUCGCGCGGUGUAGUGGUGGGCGUGGGUGGCGCAGGGAGAGCGGGUGCGGAGUUGGAUGUCGAGCUUCUUCCUGCAAAAGAGUUAGAAUAUGUCUUCGAGCGGCGUCCCUGCACUUCACGUUCAACUUUGCAAGCAUAUUCAAAUAAUGUUGUCAUAUCUGUGUAGUCCUUAUAAUCAAGUAUAUCCUGAAUUUCGCGGUUCAAACCACCACGAAAACGUGCCAUAGCAGCAUCGGUUUCCUCCAAUAACCCACAACGAAUCAUGCCUAUUUGUAAUUCCUGGAAAUAUUCCUCAACAGAUUUGGAACCUUGCUGAAAACGUUGCAUUUUAUUAAGCAAAUCGCGAGCAUAAUAAGAAGGCACAAAUCUGUGGCGCAUAGCAGUUUUUAAUUGCUCCCAAGUGGUUGGAAUGGUAUUGGGAUGUUUGUGUUUAUAUUCACGCCACCAGAUUAAAGCAAAAUCAGUAAAUUCACUAAUAGCAGCUUUAACUUGAGAAUUAGCAAGAAUAUCAUGGCAUGAAAAUUUCUGUUCAACUUCUAAUUCCCAAUCAAGAUAUGCAGCAGGAUCAUAUUUGCCAUUAAAAGGUGGAAUUUUAAAUUUAAUCUUGGAAAAGGAAUCAUUACCACCGGGACGGCGUGGCACGCGGCGGGCACGGCCACGGCGGUCGCCAUCGUCCUGGUCCGAGUCACCACCAUAACCCUGCUGCAACUCUGCGACUGUAGUGUGCAAUGCAUCGAGUCUUGCCACAACUGAGUCGAGUGUGGCCUUAGCGGCCGUCUGUGCAAGGUCGAGCUGAUCACACCGCUCGGUCGUCGAGGAGAUCGUCGAGUCCAGCCGUUCAUGAAUCGUCUGAAUGUCGGUGACAAGCCCUUCAACUUGCGCCCGUAUGCCCUGCAGCUGGUCAGCCCCCGCGUCGACAUCAUCUGCCAUGGUUAGCGCAAAGACAAGAACACAAGCGACGACAAAAUAGGGGUGUAACAGCUCACAAGGCGCUCACACUAGUGCUGUUAUCAAAUUCUUAUCCGUUCUUACCACGCACACAGGGGCGAACUGCAACCAACCGGUGGAACUCACGAAAGAUUGGAGGAGCGAUUGCCUGGAGAAACAAAAUAUGCUCGUCGUAGAACUAUGUGGAGUUCUGGGAAGGCUGCACUCAAAUGAAGGAUUAGCACAAUCAAACAAUAAUGCAAAGUUGAAAGAUAGUGCCAAACACGUAACAAGAGUUGCUGGUAACAAGGAAAAAUCGAAAGAACAGAGGCAAGGUGGAGAGGGCGCACCUCUUUUUUUUUUUUUUAUUUCUGUUUUUUUUUUUUCACAGAGGGUGCCCCAAAACUGAUAAUAUGAACACAGAGGAUCUCAAAUAUCAAAUUGCGGCACACACUUUUUCCGAAAGUACAGGGGUACACUUUUUCUCUCUCUCUCUCUCUCUAGAGUAAGGCGAACCUCAGAAUAAUAAAGGACCAAGAAAGAGAGAGACGGAUGUGAAAGGCUGGCACGGAAUGCGUGGGGGAGGGGGGAAUUAACACCAGAGAGGCGUGACCCAGGAGGAGUCACGGCGCGCGCAAAGGGAGGUUCCAACGAAACAAAGCCGAAUCACCUUCCUUCUCCCUGUUGGAUUCUUCUUCGUCUUUUUUUUUUUUUUGCUUCUUUCCUUUUUUUUUGCACUUUCCUUUUUUUUUUCUGAUUGCUUUCGAUCUUUUUUUUUGACAGGGGAGGGGCGAUCGGAGUAGUGGAAUGGUGCGGCGCGGUUGUCGCGGGGGGAGUUGCGGUGGGCGCGGCUGGUAGGGUUGGCGAGCAGCGGAACGGCGGUGGCGGCGAAAACUAGGGUUAGAUGAAAAACGAUAAACAAGAGAUUAAACACAAGUAACCAGCAACAAUUGAACGAGUAGGCACACAAAUUCAACAAAGACACUUAUUGAAAGAAUGUGCGAGGCUAAACGGUUGCUGGGACAAAGGAUCUAACCUGAAAAAAAAU